UUUUUUUUUUUAGUUUUAGCUUUAGAACGUGGAAGUUGACCCUUUUUCAUAAAUAACUUCAUGUGGAAAAGUAUUCUUUCGAGGGAAACAAGAUCAAGAAUUCGCAUUAGUAGUUGGCAGUGAUAAUAUAAUAAGUUUGAAUUUUAUACCAGCUAGCAGGACUUCCAGAAAUUCGUUAGAGGAACUGCGACAGCCUUAACAAAUAUUAUUUUUCUUAUUCCUUUCUGGUUUUUGACAAGAAUAGUAGAGAAUCUCAAUCCUUCUACUGUCGCAGUACCUGUAGUAGAGCAACCGCUCCCUCAAACUUCAGAGAACAUGGAAAUGAAUGGCUGUUUUGGUUGAAGGUUACUCCAAGAACAAUUGUUUCAUACUAGAAGGGAGGGCGCGCCUUGCUACACCCGCUCCAUUAUAAAUGGCAAAGAACAAAAGUUUGGUUGGUGGAGAAAUCAGAAACAUAUUCAACCUCAAAGGCUUCCAAGGAAAUCAGAAACAUAUUCAACCGUCGAUGUCUUCGGAGUCAAAGUCGAGCAUGUCGGUUAAAUCGUCGACAAUAGCUACUAAGUGGGUGGUGGGUGGGCGGCGAAUUUCUUCGUCAUCCGCAUCCCAAUCCUGCCGUCCAUAGUUCGGCCAGGACUCUCCUGGCAAGGAGAGAGACCUUAAUGAGUUCAGUAUGUCGCCAAAGGGCGAGUGCUAAAAGAUAUCCGCGGCGGUGAACUCCAUGAUCGGCGCCCAGUUAGAUUUGACAGGCACGGGCGCAGGCGGUUCGGAGUCCGUGGCCGGGGAAAAGUCUGGCAGUUUGGCGUCAUGGCUCUCGUGAAGGGUAAGGUCGAUACUCGGAUCGAUCGCCGCUGAGAAUGCGGCCUCCAUGGCGGGGUCUAUCCACCCGUCCAUGGAUGGCGCAAUUGGCUCCGAAUUGAGGGUCGGAGCGGUUGCCGGUGCGGUCUCCUGAACACUGGCCGAUGGUAGAGCUAAAUCAUGCUUAUCGUGACCGUGCGGCACACUUGGCAGGGGCUCGAAUCCGUUGAAGAUCAAGUCUCCUCGGAUGUCGGCUGUGUAGUUUAAGCUUCCAAACCUGACCUGGUGGCCAGGGGCGUAACUCCCGAUCUGCUCCAGAUGGCCAAGCGAGUUGGCCCCCAGUGCGAAGCCGCCGAAUACGAAGAUCUGUCCGGGGAGAAAAGUCUCACCCUGGACUGCAUCGCUAUCGAUGAUUGAAGGGGCCAUCCAGCCUAACGAUGACAACACAGAGGAACUCUCAAUGAAAGCACCAAUGUUGGUGUCAAAACCGGCGGAUCUCGGGUAGGGGGUCCCGAACUGUGCAUCUAGGCGGAUGGUAACAGGAGGCAGGGGACACGAUGUUUACCCAGGUUCGGGCCCUCUUGAUGGAGGUAAUACCCUACGUCCUGCUUGAUUGUUCUUGAUAAUAUAAGUAGUACAAGAGUUGAUCUACCACGAGAUCAGAGAGGCUAAACCCUAGAAGCUAGCCUAUGGUAUGAUUGUAUGUUCUUGGUCCUACGGACUAAACCCUCCGGUUUAUAUAGACACCGGAGGGGGCCAGGGUUACACAGAGUCGGUUACAAGGAAGGAGAUCUACAUAUCUGUACUGCCAAGCUUGCCUUCCACGCCAAGGAGAGUCCCAUCCGGACGCAGGACGAAGUCUUCAAUCUUGUAUCUUCAUAGUCCAACAGUCCGACCAAAGGAUAUAGUUCGGCUGUCCGGGUACCCCCUAAUCUAGGACUCCCUCAGCCAUCAUCAUCUUGUGCUUGUGAUCUCCAUCUCCGAAGCACCGUCAUGAUCACCAUCGUCACCAGCGUGACACCUUGAUCUCCAUCGUAGCAUCGUUGUCGUCUCGCCAAUCUUAUGCUUCCACGACAAUCGCUACCGCUUAGUGAUAAAGUAAAGCAUUACAGGGCGAUUGCAUUGCAUACAAUAAAGCGACAACCAUAUGGCUCUUGCUAGUUGUCGAUAACUCGGUUACAAAACAUGAUCAUCUCAUACAAUAAAAUUUAGCAUCAUGUCUUGACCAUAUCACAUCACAACAUGCCCUGCAAAACCAAGUUAGAUGUCCUCUACAUUGUUGUUGCAAAUUUUACGUGGCUGCUACGGGCUUAGCAAGAACCGUUCUUACCUACGCAUCAAAACCACAACGAUAGUUCGUCAAGUUGGUGUUGUUUUAACCUUCUCAAGGACCGGGCGUAGCCACACUCAGUUCAACUAAAGUUGGAGAAACUGACACCCGCCAGCCACCUGUGUGCAAAGCACGUCGGUAGAACCAGUCUCGCGUAAGCGUACGCGUAAUGUUGGUCCGGGCCGCUUCAUCCAACAAUACCGCCGAACCAAAGUAUGACAUGCUGGAAAGCAGUAUGACUUGUAUCGCCCACAACUCACUUGUGUUCUACUCGUGCAUAUAACAUCUACGCAUAAAACCAGGCUCUGAUGCCACUGUUGGGGAAUGUAGUAAUUUCAAAAAAAUUCCUACGCACACGCAAGAUCAUGGUGAUGCAUAGCAACGAGAGGGGAGAGUGUUGUCCACGUACCCUCGUAGACCGAAAGCAGAAGCAUUAGCACAACGCAGUUGAUGUAGUCGUAUGUCUUCACGAUCCGACCGAUCAAGUACCGAACGUACGGCACCUCCGAGUUCAGCACACGUUCAGCCCGAUGACGUCCCUCAAACUCCGAUCCAGCCGGAUGUUGAGGAAGAGUUUCAUCAGCACGACGGUGUGGUGACGAUGAUGAUGUUCUACCGACGCAGGGCUUCGCCUAAGCACCGCUAUAGUAUUAUCGAGGUGGACUAUGGUGGAGGGGGGACACCGCACACGGCUAAAAGAUCAAACGAUCAAUUGUUGUGUCUCUGGGGUGCCCCCCUGCCCCCGUAUAUAAAGGAGCAAGGGGGGUGCGGACGGCCUAGAGAGGGGCGUGCCAGGAGGAGUCCUACUCCUACCGGGAGUAGGACUCCCCCCUUUUCCUUGUUGGACUAGGAGAGAGAGGGGAAAGAGGUGGAGGAGAAGAAGGAAGGGGGGAGUCGUCCCCCUCUCCUUGUCCUAUUUGGACUAGGGGGGAGGGGGUGCGGCCCAUGCCCUGGCCGCCUCUACUCUCUUUCCACCAGGGCCCAUUAAGUCCCCGGGGGUUUCGGUAACCUCCCGGUACUCCGGUAAAAUCCCGAUUUCACCCGGAACACUUCCGAUAUCCAAACAUAGGCUUCCAAUAUAUCAAUCUUCAUGUCUCGACCAUUUCAAGACUCCUCGUCAUGUCCGUGAUGACAUCCGGGACUCGGAACAACCUUCGGUACAUCAAAACAUAUAAACUCAUAAUAUAACUAUCAUCGAAAUGUUAAGCGUGCGGACCCUACGGGUUCGAGAACUAUGUAGACAUGACCGAGACACGUCUCCGGUCAAUAACCAAUAGCGGAACCUGGAUGUUCAUAUUGGAUCCCACAUAUUCUACGAAGAUCUUUAUCGGUUAGACCGCAUAACAACAUACGUUGUUCCCUUUGUCAUAGGUAUGUUACUUGCCCGAGAUUCGAUCGUCGGUAUCUCAAUACCUAGUUCAAUCUCGUUACCGGCAAGUCUCUUCACUCGUUAUGUAAUACAUCAUCCCGCAACUAACUCAUUAGUUGCAAUGCUUGCAAGGCUUAAGUGAUGUGCAUUACCGAGAGGGCCCAGAGAUACCUCUCUGACAAUCGGAGUGACAAAUCCUAAUCUCGAAAUACGCCAACCCAACAAGUACCUUCGGAGACACCUGUAGAGCACCUUUAUAAUCACCCAGUUACGUUGUGACGUUUGGUAGCACACAAAGUGUUCCUCCGGUAAACCGGAGUUCCAUAAUCUCAGUCAUAGGAACAUGUAUAAGUCAUGAAGAAAGCAAUAGCAACAUACUAAACGAUUGUGUGCUAAGCUAAUGGAAUGGGUCAAGUCAAUUACAUCAUUCUCUUAAUGAUGUGAUCUCAUUAAUCAAACGACAACUCUUUGUCUAUAGUUAGGAAACUUAACCAUCUCUGAUCAACGAGCUAGUCAAGUAGAGGCAUACUAGUGACAUACUGUUUGUCUAUGUAUUAACACAUGUAUUAUGUUUCCGGUUAAUACAAUUAUAGCAUGAAUAAUUAACAUUUAUCAUGAUAUAAGGAAAUAAAUAAUAACUUUAUUAUUUCCUCAAGGGCAUAUUUCCAUCAAAUACAGUAGGUUUAACACCAAUAUAAAUAAAGAAUGAGUUCAUUACAGUACCUUGAAGUGGUGAUUUGUUUUCUUUCGCUAACGGAGCUCACGAGUUUUCUGUUAAGUUUUGUGUUGUGAAGUUUUCAAGUUUUGGGUAAAGAUUCGAUGGACUAUGGAAUAAAGAGUGGAAAGAGCCUAAGCUUGGGGAUGCCCAAGGCACCCCAAGGUAAUAUCCAAGGACAAGCAAGAGCCUAAGCUUGGGGAUGCCCCGGAAGGCAUCCCCUCUUUCGUCUUUGUUCAUCGGUAACUUUACUUGGAGCUAUAUUUUUAUUUACCACAUGAUAUGUGUUUUGCUUGGAGCGUCAUUUUAGUUUAUUUAGUUUUGCUUGUUGUUUGAAUAAAAUACCAAGAUAUGAAAUUCUUAAAUGUUAGAGAUUCUUCACAUAGUUGCAUAAUUAUUCGUAUACUCAUUGAUCUUCACUUAUAUCUUCGUAGUUUGUCAUUUGCUCUAGUGCUUCACUUAUAUCCUUUUAGAGCACGGUGGUGGUUUUAUUUUAUAGAAAUAGAUGAACUCUCAUGCUUCACUUAUAUUAUUUUGAGAGUCUUUACAACAGCAUGGUAGUUUGCUUUGGUUAUGAAUUUAGUCCUAAUAUGAUGGGCAUCCAAGUGGGAUAUAAUAAAAACUUUCAUAUGAAGUGCAUUGAAUACUAAGAGAAGUUUGAUACUUGAUAAUUGUUUUGAGAUAUGGAGAUGGUGAUAUUAGAGUCAUGCUAGUUGAGUAAUUGUGAAUUUGAGAAAUACUUGUGUUGAAGUUUGUGAUUCUCGUAGCAUGCACAUAUGGUGAACCGUUAUAUGACGAAGUCGAAGCAUGAUUUGUUUAUUGAUUGUCCUCCUUAUGAGUGGCGGUCGGGGACGAGCGAUGGUCUUUUCCUACCAAUCUAUCCCCCUAGGAGCAUGCGCGUAGUACUUUGUUUCGAUAACUAAUAGAUUUUUGCAAUAAGUAUGUGAGUUCUCUAUGACUAAUAUUGAGUCCAUGGAUUAUACGCACUCUCACCCUUCCACCAUUGCUAGCCUCUCUAGUACCGCGCAACUUUCGCCGGUACCAUAAACCCACCAUAUACCUUCCUCAAAACAGCCACCAUACCUACCUAUUAUGGCAUUUCCAUAGCCAUUCUGAGAUAUAUUGCCAUGCAACUUUCCACCGUUCUGUUUAUUAUGACACGCUCCAUCAUUGUCAUAUUGCUUUGCAUGAUCAUGUAGUUGACAUCGUAUUUGUGGCAAAGCCACCGUUCAUAAUUCUUUCAUACAUGUCACUCAUGAGUCAUUGCACAUCCCAAUACACCACCGGAGGCAUUCAUAUAGAGUCAUACUUUGUUCUAGUAUCGAGUUGUAAUCAUUGAGUUGUAAAUAAAUAGAAGUGUGAUGAUCAUCAUUAAUAUAGCAUUGUCCCCAAAAAAGAGAAAGGCCAAACAAAUAAAACUUGGCUUGUAUAUUCCAACUCUAGUGCAUCCGUGAUCUGCAUGAUAGAGAGUCUCUUGUUUUGCCACUUUCUUAUACUAGUGGGAAAUUUUCAUUAUAGAACUUGGCUUGUAUAUUCCAACAAUGGGCUUCCUCAAAUGCCCUAGGUCUUCGUGAGCAAGCAAGUUGGAUGCACACCCACUUAGUUUCUUUUUGAGUUUCAUACACUUAUAGCUCUAGUGCAUCCGUUGCAUGGCAAUCCCUACUCACUCACAUUGAUAUCUAUUAAUGGGCAUCUCCAUAGCCCGUUGAUACGCUUAGUUGAUGUGAGACUAUCUUCUCCUUUUUGUCUUCUGCACAACCACCAUUCUAUUCCACCUAUAGUGCUAUAUCCAUGGCUCACGCUCAUAUAUUGCGUGGAGAUUGAAAAAGUUUGUGAACAUUAAAAGUAUGAAACAAUUGCUUGGCUUGUCAUCGGGGUUGUGCAUUAUUUAAAUACGUUGUGUGGUGAAGAUGGAGUAUAGCCAGACUAUAUGAUUUUGUAGGGAUAGCUUUCUUUGGCCAUGUUAUUUUGAGAAGACAUAAUUGCUUAGUUAGUAUGCUUGAAGUAUUAUUAUUUUUAUGUCAAUAUUAAACUUUUGUCUUGAAUCUUAUAGACCAGAACAUUCAUGCCAAAAUGAAGAGAAUUACUUAGAGAAAUAUGUUAGGUAGCAUUCCACAUCAAAAAUUCUGUUUUUAUCAUUUACCUACUCGAGGACGAGCAGGAAUUAAGCUUGGGGAUGCUGUUACGUCUCCAAGGUAUCUAUAAUUUUGAUUGUUCCAUGCUAUUAUAUUAUUUGUUUUGGAUGUUUAUGGGCUUUAUUAUGCACUUUUAUAUUAUUUUUGGGACUAACCUAUUAACCCAGAGCCCAGUGCCAGUUUCCGUUUUUUCCUUGUUUUAGAGUAUCGCAGAAAAGGAAAAUCAAACGGAGUCCAAUUGACCUGAAACUUCACGGAACUUAUUUUUGGAACGGAAGCAAUCCAGAAGACUUGGGGUGUACGUAAGGGAAGCAACAAGGAAGGCACAAGGCAGGGGGGCGCGCCCACCCCCCUGGGUGCCCCCUCCACCCUCGUGGGCCCCUCGUGGCCCCCCUGAUGUAUUUCUUCCUCCUAUAUAUAUCCAUAUACCCUAAAAACUGCAAGGAGCAGAAUAGAUCGGGAGUUCCUCCGCCAGAAGCCUCCGUAGCCACCGAAAACCAAUCUAGACCCGUUUCGGCACCCUGCCGGAGGGGGAACCCUUCACUGGUGGCCAUCUUCAUCAUCCCGGCGCUCUGCAUGACGAGGAGGGAGUAGUUCUCCCUCGGGGCUGAGGGUAUGUACCAGUAGCUAUGUGUUUGAUCUCUCUCUCUCGUGUUCUUGAGGUGGUACGAUCUUGAUGUAUCGCGAGCUUUGCUAUUAUAGUUGGAUCUUAUGAUGUUUCUCCCCUCUACUCUCUUGUAAUGGAUUGAGUUUUCCCUUUGAAGUUAUCUUAUCGGAUCGAGGCUUUAAGGAUUUGAGAACACUUGAUGUAUGUCUUGCUGUGCUUAUCUGUGGUGACAAUGGGGUAUCACGUGAUCCACUUGAUGUAUGUUUUGGUGAUCAACUUGCGGGUUCCGCCCAUGAACCUAUGCAUAGGGGUUGGCACACGUUUUCGUCUUGACUCUCCGGUAGAAUCUUUGGGGCACUCUUUGAAGUACUUUGUGUUGGUUUGAAUAGAUUAAUCUGAGAUUGUGUGAUGCAUAUCGUAUAAUCAUACGCACAGAUACUUGAGGUGACAUUGGAGUAUCUAGGUGACAUUAGGGUUUUGGUUGAUUUGUGUCUUAAGGUGAUAUUCUAGUAUGAACUCUAGGAUACAUUGAACAGAAAGAAUAGCUUUGUGUUAUUUUACUACGGACUCUUCAAUAGAUCGAUCAGAAAGAAUAACUUUGAGGUGGUUUCGUACCCUGCCAUAUUCUCUUUGUUUGUUCUCCGCUAUUAGUGACUUUGGAGUGACUCUUUGUUGCAUGUUGAGGGAUAGUUAUGUGAUCCAACUAUGUUAUUAUUGUUGAGAGAACUUGCACUAGUGAAAGUAUGAACCCUAGGCCUUGUUUCAACGCAUUGCAAUAUCGUUUGUGCUCACUUUUAUCAUUAGUUACCUUGCUGUUUUUAUAUUUUCAGAUUACAAAAACCUUUAUCUACCAUACAUAUACCACCUGUAUCACCAUCUCUUUGCCGAACUAGUGCACCUAUACAAUUUACCAUUGUAUUGGGGGUGUUGGGGACACAAGAGACUCUUUGUUAUUUGGUUGCAGGGUUGUUUGAGAGAGACCAUCUUCAACCUACGCCUCCUACGGAUUGAUAAACCUUAGGUCAUCCACUUGAGGGAAAUUUGCUACUGUCCUACCAACCUCUGCACUUGGAGGCUCAACAACGUCUACAAGAAGAAGGUUGUGUAGUAGACAUCAGAGGUCAAGGGCAACGCCUAGCUCGACGUGUGAUGAAAUAUGAGUUUUUAUUUGUUGAACUAUAUAUUUUUUUAUUGAACUAUUUGUUGAACUAUUUGAUUUCUAUUAAUUUUUUGUGAUGAACUAUGUGAUAAAAAAUAGAUUAUGUUGAAUUUGCGCUGAAGCACGGCGAAUAUGGGCCAACAUUGGUCAGUUUGCGCUGAUAGCGGGCCAAUUUUGCGCCGAAAGUGGGAUGAAAAGUGGGCAAAUUUGUGCCAAAAGUGGGUCAAAAUCAGCGCCUGGGGCGGCGGCUGGGAACCCAAUUUCCCCCAUGCCGAUUUUAGCGCUAGUUCGGCCCUAGGCGGCAAUAUUUCAGUCCCCGGGGAGGCGAACGGCUGGAGAUGCCUUGAGUCGUGUGUUGCAUGGUGGAUUUAACUGCCACCCACCCAAUCCAUCUUUAUCUAUUCUCUUUUCCUCGAUCUACGGCUACGUUUGCUUCUUCAUCAACUAGAGCUACACAUAUACCAGGGCAUGCCAUCAUCCACAUAAUCGGCUAUAGAAGACAUACGCCACAAUGACCACCAUGAUCAAAAGCCCACCAAGGUGGAACAUUUUCAUGUGGCAGAACAAGAGCAGCCAUUAUAAAUAAGUGCGUCACUACUCAACAAGUUCUGAAUUUUUUAACUACAAGGUGAACACAAAUUGCAACAAAUCAAUUUUGUCUGCAAGGUGAUCUUAUAUUGCAAGGAUAUUAUUUUCAGGUGUAGCAAGUUAUUUGUGAUGUGCAGAUCAAGCGAUGAGUGAGAUUUAUCUAUCAUGCAUGUUUAUUUAUAACAACAUAACUUAAAAAAUUACAUUUUUGUUGGAAAAGGAUUCUGAUGGGGUUACUCUCUAGAGACGUUUCAUUCACGUUCUUUCAGUCCGUUUUAGGCCAAUGAAUGUGUGCACAUUUCUCUGGAAACACAUAAUUUUGUACAAAUUUUUAUAAUCUAAUAGUUUUUUGUCCUAAUUAAUCCUUACAGAGAUGCAGUAGCCCAAUGAAUUUCCUGAUCCAUGUCAUUCAUGUUCAAGAGAAAUAACUACAUUCCUCAUCUAUAAUAUCUGACACUCAUUCUUAAAUAUUUGGCAUGUGUUUCCUUCUAAGCGUUUCUUGAAAAUCCAUAUUUUAUUUCUACUCUCCAGUCUUAUUGUCUCAUAGUGUUAUUCAUAUUUCUAUUGUGUAUAAUGAUUAGUUCGGAGAUAUUCAAAGUUGCAUUCCAAGUUCUAAUAUAUUUCGAACUCCUACUAUAUUUAGCAUAGAAAGAUCUUCAAUUAUUUUCAUAUUCAUGUUUUCAAAAUCACUAGACCAUGCGGAAGCACGGGUUGAUGAGUAGUAAUCCAUAAUCCCAGUAAGAUAGUCUGAGGAAUGAACACUGAUUGUCAAUGGAUCACCACUACAAAAAAAUACACUUCCGUGAUGAUACGUGUUUGUCAUAGUAGGUCGCUUUUUUGUCAUGCAUGUACCUCCAUGACAAAUUUAUGAUAGAAUCAAGAUAGUCAUACCUGUGAUGUCGUAGAAGUGUUCCAUGACAUUACCAAAAUUAUCAUCACGGAAGUGUCCACUUCCAUGACGAUAAAUCGCGCGUCACAGAAGUGCUUUCGUCAAGGUGACCGACACGUGGCAUCCACCGUAACGGAACGCCGUUAAGCUAUCGCGUCGGAUUUUGGAUCCGAUAACCCGUUAACAGCCCCGACCAAUGGGGAUUUUCCACGUGUAAAAUCAUCAUUGGCUAGAGGAAACACGUGCCGGCUCAUCAUCGGGACAGAUGUCAUCCACUCACAAAGCGCCUAUGAUACGUCGACACGUGGCACGGCCCAACAAGUUUAAAUGGGUCGGCCCAACUAAAUGCCCACAAGAUUUUGCAGACCAUAAUGGGCCGGCCCAGCUAAAGGCCCAUGAGAUUUUGCGGACCAUAAUGGGCUGGCCCAGCUAAAGGCCCACAAGAUUUCGCGGGCCAUAAUGGGCCAGCCCAGGUAGAGGCCCAUAAGAUUUUUGUGUGCCAUAAUAGGCCGGCCCAGGUAAAGGCCCAUAAAAUUCUUGCGGAUAAUAAUGGGCCGUCCCAGAUAAAGGCCCAUGAGAUUUCCCUGACAUUAAUGGGCCAGCCCAGCUGUAGGCCCACAAGAUUUUGAGGACCCUAGUAGGCCGGCCCGUUAACUAGCUGCCAUGUUUUGGGCCAAAUGUCGGCCCAUAUUUGAUACGGUCUAUUAAUGGUCUGCCACGCUCCGGGCCUAAUAGUGGCCCAUAUGAGAUCCGGCCCAUUAAAAGCCUACCACGUUCUGGGAAAAAUUACGGCCCAGAUCAGGUCCGGCCCUUUAAGAGGUUUUGGGCCUAAUUAUGGCCCAUAUCAGAUUCGGCCCGUCAAGUGGACACUAUGCUUUUGGGCCCACUUGCUAAAGGCCCACUUAGUAAUUCGGCCUGAUAUUAGUUUUGGCCUGUUAAGGGCCUGUUUAACAUUUCGGCCCUAUAUUAAUUUCAGCCUGUUAAAAGCCCGUCAUAUAGUUGGGCCUAAUUAUGGCCCGGUUUGCAUCCGGCCUGCUCGCAACUGAUAUCUGAUUGGGCCAAACAAGGACCGAGACAAUUUUUCGGCAUGUUAAAAGCCCGUGAUUUGAUUCACACAAUCAUGGGUCGGGGUUCAUUUCGGGCUGCUGCCGGCCCGUGAGCUGAUCGGCACGUUUCAGGCCCAACCUACAUCGUGAUUGCAUGACGGCCCGAUUAUGUAUCGUAAUUUUAUGGUUUGGCCAGUUUACUGCGAAGACAGGAUAUAUAUACAGUAAAAUAACUGCAACAUCGUGAAUAAGAAAAAACCUAUACUAUACAAUAAAGAAAUUAUGGCAUAUUACAUCCACUGGGCAUCAAAGUUCGCCACUAUGAUAAUAAAGCACAAGCAGACAACAGAUUACAUACACUGGGCAUCAAAGAUCGCCACUAGUGCAAUUAAACACGCCGACAAAAUAAUAUACAAAACCGACAUCACUUCAAUAGAGUUCAAGAAAGGUUAGCCCUGCUGGGGAGCUGCAACGCAAGCAGCUGAGCAAGAUGAUGAGACUGCGCUUUUUCAACACUUAUAUCUUCCUCACUCUGAAAGAUAAACAAGCAGACAGAUGACAAGUUUUGCACAUAAAAGUGUCAGUGCUGACAAUUCAUCACAUUUCUUACUGAUGAAUAAAGUGACACAGUUUAAAUUUGCAUUAACACAAUAUGGUAUUGUUCAGGUCAAGACAUGGCAGGAAAUGACAUUGUGAAGGAGUUGGCAGCUUCACGACACCACUGGAUACAGAUCAAGAACUCAUAAGUAUCAAUGGUUAGUGUGCUGUCAAUUUAUACCAUUUCAGAUUGGCAAAUAAAGAGACGGUUAAAAUAAUAGUAGAAUGAUAUGACAUUUUUCAUAGUUAAGACAUUGCAGAAUAUGACAUUGUGCUGUAGUGGGUAGGUUCACCACACCACUGGAUUACAGAUGAAGAACAGAAGCAUACAUGCAGUGCAAAAGAAGAUCACUUGCUCUGUAUAGUUUAAUUUACAUGGUAUGAAGAAGGAACUUGGUUGUACAACUGAAAACUUAAAUUGAGAAAGGACGAACUUUUGUUUAUGAACUACAUAUAAUAAACUUUAAACAAGCAAUUGGAUGCAAACACCAAAAAUAAAUAGCUGUUGCAGUCAUGCCUAACCAAAUAUAUACAACAAAGUUUGAAGGCUUGAGAUGGACAAACUUACAUUAUUGGUGAAGACAAGCUCUAUAAAGGCCUUGUCCAUGCUGAUGGGGGGCAAUUCAAGAAGUUUACAACCGAAUCUUCUUCAAAAGCAUUGCAUUUAUUCUACACUUUGUUAAGAGUAAAUAUAGAUGUGAUAAUAUAUGAAAAAAUGGAGAAUAUUUAAGAUAAGAUGAAGAGUGAUGCUACAUAACCAAGUAGCUAUAAAUGUAAGUGCAGCAAUACAGGCAAAAGGUACAUCCAAGAGCAAUGCACAACUAAACUUCUUCAGUACCAACCUUAUGGUAAGAGUAAAUAUAGAUCUGAUGUGUAGAAAAUGGAGGGCAAAGGAAAAUAAGCUGCAGAGUGAUGGUACAUGAACAACUACCUGUCAUUAUAAGUACACUAAUAAAGGACAGCAUGCACUUACAAGAACAAUGCAGAGCAAAAAAAACAUUGGCAUUGGAUAUAUUCUACACUAAUGUAACCAUUCAUACAGAUCAGAUAAUUUGGGGCGAACAAUUGAUAAGCAAGCUAUCAUGCAUACUGCUAUCACAUAAUGAACUAGGUAUGUAUGCAAGUACAGUGAUACAGGACAACAGGUACUAACAAGAGCAAAGCAGCGGGCAGCAUAUUUGAGAUAUCAUGUCGUUCUUGUCAAACCGGAAUUCUUCUUCGAGCAGAUUUCCUGCAAAAAAGAUCCGUAAGGCACAUGCGGAAAAGUAGAAGUUCAAAUUGUCAUGUGAUUUCAUAGACAGUACCUCAUCCUGGGAACGAGGCCAGUGCAUAACAAGGGUUUUCCAUUCAAUGUCUUCUAAAUUUAGCACAUGAGACUUCACCAGAAAUUCAUUUAUAGACUUGCCAUCAAAGUGUGAUUUCCCCAAGUAACACCGAUACUGCUGCAAUGCUUCCUUGAAAAGCACAAGCAAGCUUUGCUCAUCAUGACUAUCCAGAUUGACCCUCGCCUGGUUACAACAAUGUAAUGUAAAUCAUUGAUGUGUUCAAUCAGCAGAAAACAGGAAAAUAAUAGCCAUGAAUAAUAGCACUUACACGUAAGUUGGACAGGAAGAUGUGAAAAUGGUGUUUGUCUUCACAAUAAUCUUCCCAUGAUGGGAAUAUAUGCACGUAGUUCCUAACAACAUUGAAAGCAUUGUCUUUUAAACUGGGAAUAAAUGGAAUGGGGUUCCAAUCUGUAGGAAUUGGCCGUCUCUACAGUUGGGAUAGGUCUUCGGCCGGUGGACUUGCUGUACUUUUUGCUGGAGUGGGAUUUUUCUGUGGUACAGCUGGUGCUAUGGCAAAUGAAAUCGGUAUACCUUUUGUUGGAGUGCAGGUCCUGUGUGGUGGGGCUAGUGGUGUGGCCAGUGAAGUAUGGGUACAGUCUGCUGGAGUCGGUCCUACGUUUUGUGUCACUGGUUGUACAACCAAUAUAAGUGGGGUGUUGUCUGAUUUCUUCGGCACCACCAUGUUUUUCAAGGACUUUGCUGGUGCUCCUGCAGGUUCGGCAAUCACCCUCUUCCUUUUUGAUGUCUGAUGCACAAGAACAACAUUUGAGUGGAAAAACAUGGUAUGAUGACAGAUGGAAUAUGUAUUGAUAAUGGAUGGGCAUGGCAUCUCGACAUAUAUGAUGAGUAAACUAAGCAGAUGGCGGUGCAACAAAGUAGAAGAAAUGCAAGACAACAUAUGCAAGAUACCCGCAAUCAAUAAAACAUUAACAAAUUAGAAUAGGCACCUUGAUGGGUGAACAGGACAUGCCAUCUGCCUUUGACUCCUCGGGGUUAGAAUAGUCAUUAGGAUCAUAUUCUGAACAAGAAUCAACAGGUGGGGAGCGUAUGAGUUUAAUUGCAUCCAGAAUGGCACUCAAUGCCUUGGUGCCAAUUUUGUAAGUCAUUGCAGUGUUUAGCUUCAAGAGUGGACUGUUGCUAGUGCGACACAAAGCAGCUACACAGAUCAUAGUGUAGAUAUAACGGGAAAACCUUAAGCAUCAGAGUAAAAUCAGCAAAGUGGAACUUGCUGGAAUAUAUGUGCUAGUAUUGCCGGUACGGCUAGAAAGGCUUUGGAUACCAGCUCUCUUCAGGCGAAGGUGCAGUACUGUUAACAUCAAUGUAACUCUCAAAGGCGACAUAGCUCCCCCCAUUUCCUUGCUAUUCUUAUAGGAUUCAAGUGGGCAUGCCACUACAAAUCCUAUUCCUAUGUUCACAAGAUCCUACGAAUCAAAGAGGCUCAAAGUGUCCAUCACAACCGACCGUAUAGACCUCUACACUGCAAAUGUCCCUGCUCAUCUUUAGUACAAGGAACAUACUGUACUACUAUCAUACUCCCUCUGUUCCAAAAUAUAAGUCUUGGUAGAGAUUUCCACUAUGGAUCACAUACAGAUGUAUCCAGGUACAUUUUAGAGUGUAGAUUCACUCAUUUUGCUCCAUAUGUAGUCCAUGGUGUAAUCUAUACAAAGACUUGUAUUUAGGAAUGGAGAGAGUACAUAUUAAAGAAGAACGGAAGAGGAGCAUGGUAAAGAAGAGCAAGCAGAUUUUGGAUAAUAAAAUGUUGGUUGCGCAGUGCCCACACAUGAUGAACCAGAGUGCAUUAAGAAUGCAACUCCUAGCUGUCUCUCGACCAUUUCAGCCGGUUGGAUGAAGAUCCUACGUCUCCUAACCCUUCUUCUUCCUCGUCUCUGAUUCUUCCCACACAGAACACCGCACGGGCCGCCGGCCGGACCACCGGCCCCCACCGCCUGUGUUCCUCCGCCACCCCCACCCCAACCCCCACCCGCAUCGAGUUUUCUUCGUUCGGUGAGGCCCCACAACCACCCGAGCCCCUUCGAUCGCACCGGCGAACUCCGGCGAGCUCUGAAAAAUCGACUGACCCAAUUUUGAAAUUUAGUCUACUGUGAUUUAACUAGUGUGGAAUAUAAAAGGGGAAAAUCAUAAGCAUUGCGAGUAUGGUGUUGAGCGUUCCAUGGCGGAUCUAAAGGUGCAAAUCGGACAAAGGCAACUUUGCAACCAAGACAAGAAAUCAGAGUAAAGCAGUGGCGAUCUAUUUUCUUGCUGCGAUAAAUAAGUUGAGCAGAUACAAAAGAGUACCGCCUCUGGUGCGGCGCCAUGUACGCAUCUGCUGAGAAUUUGACAGUGCUGCGGUAGCGAUGGCUGUCGGUCGCGUGGAAGCACAUCUAGGAGGGUAGACGGUGGCGGCGGGGCACGAUGGACGAGACCGUCGUAGGAGCGGCGCCGACAAGGUGGACGACGGCGGGGAUGAAGCGAGAGGACGGGAUGCAAGGAUCCCGGUCUGAAGCCGUGGAUGAGAGAUGUCGAUCUCUUGUAAUGGACGGCGGCGUCGGGGUAUCAACUCCGGCAUGGUGGAGGAGGACGGCGGUGGAUGGGGUGGCGGACGGCGGUGGACGGAGGAGGGUGGGGUGGAGAGGGUGUUCUGGCGCCCAUGGAGUACGAAUGGGGAAAAGGGAGGUAGAGAGGAAGGGGGAACCAUGUAUUUAGGGCGCGCUUGUCACAAAUGCGAGGAAAUUUACAAACUUAGCCCCCGUUUCAAAUUUCUACUACAUCACAACAACACUAGUCGAUUGGGGAUAUGACGGUAAUCUCGCAUACACUGAAUAUUUGCCGACGGGAGUUUGCUUUUGGCGCCCACCGUGUAUGAAUAUGAAUUGGGGAGUGAGUCUAUUUCGGCCGAGGACACACUGUGUUUUGGCGCCCACCAUGUAUGAAUCCGGGUGAGAGGCGGUUACGUCACGUUUGGGUGAAAUUACAAACCUACCCCUAUCCAAACCUAUAGAAACCCAGCAUAUAGGCUUUGCGUGGCAGGGAUAGGCAGUAGUGAUUUCCAUCUCGCAGAUUUUGGUUUCGCGCGGUUACUGUGACUUUCCCCGCUUCGUUCAAAUUUUGCAGAGUGCACGUUUACCAUGCCAACUCAAUUCGAAUCCCGUUUGUAUUCUAUUUUUUUCGGGCGGGAUCCAUUUUCAAUUGGAAUUACAUUCUAUAUACAUCAUUUAUAUAUAUAUAUAUACUUUCAAAAGCACAACAAAGAAUUCUGCUCCUUUAUAUGUAUAAUAUGAUUUACAAAUACAUCGAUCUCGAAAUCUUAAGGUUGAAUUCGAAAAAAUUUAACCAAAUUAUGUUCUACUAAAAUGUAUGGAUCAGUAAUAUCUACAUAUUAAAUAACAUAGAUGUGUGUGAAUUCAUAUGAGUAUGCAUGUUUGAUAGAUCAAUUUUGGUUCGAGCAUGGAUUACAUGUAUCAUCAUCUCGAAUUCAAAUAUUUGAAUCCCUUUUUUGUUCACUCCUUUCACGCCCAUCUCUCUCGCAUGCAUGCUCCUUUAGGUAGCUAUCACUCUCUUUUAUCCAGCUCACCCGCACGCUCACUUCAUGUUGCUCCUAUCCUCGCAAACAUGGUCUCUCGACGUCUCCCUUGAGAAGUGUCACACUCUCCCUAUCAUUAUAAAUUACAUGGUUUUCAUUAUCUCUCACGUCUGUACUGUUCUCUCGUAUCACUCGGUACCUAAGCUUUCUUUUUCACCGCCAAACACAUAGUCUCCACUCGUCUUUCACUUUGUCUUUCUCUCUAUGGGAUUCUCUCACACAUCCUAUAUGUCUCUACAUAUGACUUAUACCACUAAAAUUACUCUCUCUAUCUCUCCUGUAGACACAACAUUUGUUGCGGUCUCCUUUUCGUCUCCAUCCCAGACUGACAUUAUUCAUUUGUUUACCGAUCAGACAACCCCGACUACUAUCUCCUCUCUCUCUCACACAGACACACACGCACAGCUCCUACCACUAAAAUGUGAAUGGAAACGAGAUUUUGUUAUACCCAAACAAAAAAGGACUGGAGGGAGUGAUUGCUCUGACACGGACGCGACCUUUCAUAGCGCAGGCAUUGAACCGACGCGCCAGCCAAGAGGGCCGCACUCGCUGCAGGCCCGGCUGAGCACGCCUCCUCGCCGCGUGCAACCAGCUUAAGACUGCCCUGCCUGCCUUCAUUGAAUCCGCGCGUGUGCUGGCAACACGUCCUUCCGCGACCCGGCAGGCAUUUUAGAACACAAAAAUGACUACAGUAUAAUUAAUUUACGCAUGGUCUUGACUUGUUGUGCUUGCACUGGUAGCAGGAACUAGUAGAGGAUUUUCUUUAUUUAUAACUCUCCUCACAUUUUUUUGGCUUUGAAGUGAAUCAUGGUUGUGGACAUUAUGUAUGAAUGUGCAGAUAUCUGUGAACAUGAGUUUGAUGUGGAAGUUGAACUUGGAAUGUCGGGCUUGCGCGUGAACUAUACCAUGUCCAAUGCUUCGUCUGUUAUUGUUUGGAAAGUAAUUGUUGUUAUUACAUGACCCAGAAAAAACAUUUUAUGCCACAUCAGUAGAUGCACGGACAUCACAACAGGCAUCCUGACUGGAUAAACAUUUGAACCUAGCUAUUAUGAAGGAAAUUUUGUAUUGACAACAAUUUUAGAUAGCAGGAGACGCCUAGCCUGCUCUGCCUCUGCUAUCUUAUUUCUGGCUUCUUCCAUCUCUUCUUUGGCUUGGGUGAAGAGAGCAUCUGAUUUCUCUUUUCGCUUCUUCAGGAACUCGGCUACAUUCUCAAGGGCUGCUGCACGCUUUCUUUCAGCCUUUACUAAUGCCACGAGGACACGAACAGCUGACGACUCCACCUGGCUUGUGUGUAAUCCAGCAUCAUCUGGGAAUUUGCACCUUGUGUCUAAUCCAUCAUCAUUAGGGAACUAGCACCUUGUGUGUAAUCCAGCCUCAUUUUGGAAACAUGAUCUCGAGGUUGACCAUACUUCCCUCCUCGCAGGAACUGCAUCCUGACAUAAGUUACUUCUUUUUUAGAUCAAUGCUCAGAGCAACCUAGAUCCAUUUAGUAGAAGCCAGAUAAACAGAACUCGGAGAAGUGAAUUCAAAAGGAAUAAAUAAAUAAAAACAGACUACAAGGUGAGAACACCCACUUCCUACAUGAAGCUAAAAACAAAAGCAUUAGGACAAUUAAGACUCUUCUUAUUACACAUCGAAGAACACCACGCUUAAGAGAAACAGAAAGUACAACAUAUACACAUCGAAGAACACGACGCUACACGAAAGUAAUUGAAAGGGUGUUACUUACCAAAGCUCGUUUUACAGGUUCGGUGCAGCUCCUCUUUAACUUGCCACGCUCCUUGAAGAUGUCCCGAAUAUCCUGUGUUUGAUCUUCAUUGCUCCUCUGCAUGUUCGCACUCGUGGUUUUAAAAUCUCAACAUGGCAAGAAAAAUAUACUACUAGUAAUACUCAUGCAUCUUGUGGGCAACAUUAAAGCACUCGUCUAUCAUGUUACAGCAUCUCCAACAAGAUAAACUACUCAUACAAAUGCAUCUUGAUGCGUGCAAUGCAUGGGCAUUUCGCUAGUUCUAAAAACCUUUCCAUCAUUUGCCACACUACUGGUUGCAGAUGAAAAACCUACCCAAGAACAGCGCGAUACAGGAGCGAUGCACAAUUACAAGCUGAUAUUUUGUUGCACAAUGGAGGCUAUAACCAAUUACUUUUACGGGAACAAUAGCACCCAGGAAAUUUGAAGGGUAGGUAUGAACAAAAUUGGAACUGCACAUGUAUUGCUAAGUGAUUCAAUACACACAUUACCAAUCGAGGAGGAGAACGAUGGUCGCGGAGGCCUCUGUGAGUCAUGGUCAGCAACGGGAGUCCGUUCAUUGUCCACGACGGUGAUACUUCUGCGCUUGGCGUCGGCUUCCAGGAAGCAGAUACGAGACCGUGGAAGACGAUGCCGGGGAAGAGGCUCCGUGUACGAUGACGACGGUGGACCGGCUCCAGUGCGGCGUACGAGGUCGUCGAUUAGGCAGAUGCGCUACGGUGGACGAGUGCGCCGAUGUAAAGGGGAGGAGCACGAAGGCUGUGGUGCCGUGGAGAAGUCUAUUUUGCAGUGGGGAUAGAAACUGGGGAGUAUUCAGGUGUACUACUAUGGGUGCCGGGGUGGGGUUGGCUGGGUAGGGUGAACCUGAAGUUACGAAAACAGCCCCCUACCAAGCGUCAUCUGUAGGCCUGUUCCGAAGGCUAUGAUGGUAACUUCCCACUGCUCGAAUCAGGGUCGUGGGAGAUUUUCCCGCCGACCUCAAAAUUUUGUGACACUGGACUCCCCGUGUGGCGUGUUGAGUGAUUCGGCUAAGCAACUAGCGAGUAGUAGUAGUAAACUCUGCAUAUUAGGUUUGACCGAAGUCAAACUUCCUAAAGUUUGACCAAGUUUAUAGAAAAAUAUAAACAUUUACCAUAACGAAUAUGUAUGAUGUGAAAGUACAUUCAAUAAUGAAUCUAAUGUUAUUUAUUUGUUAUUGUAUAUGUUAAUAUUUUUUGUUAUAAGCUUUCUGAGAGUCUACAAAACUUGACUUUGACCAAUGCUAAUACGCGGACUUAAAUAAAAACGGAGGGAGUACACAUUUGUUUUCUUAGUUUGUAGUGAACUAAUCAUUUGUUGAAAUUGUGAAAUAAAUAUAUUAGGCUAUUGACUUCGAAUGUAAUGGUCUAUACAAUUCAAUAGUUACAAUCAUUGUCGAAUCCCAAGAUGUAUACAAGGUCUAUAGUACUUCACAACAUGCACAAACUCACAUAAUCUCAGUCAAAUGAGAAUCUAAAUGCAUUUCAUAGUUAUUACUUUGUAGGAUGCAACAAGAACAACCAUAACUCUACAUCAGCCAUUAUAGAAGCAACAUUUUGACAUAUCCCAAUGUGUGAAUGAAACGUGUAGAGAGAGCUUUUGAAGAUGGAGCAGAUAGGGUGGGAAAGAUUGUAUGUAUGUGGACGAGAGAGUAGGAGACAAACCUAACGAGAUACAGAGAGAGAUACAGAGAGAAAGAGAGAGGAAGAAGUUAGGUCUACGAGAAAGAUGCAUACAUGUAAUAUACAUGAGAUGCGUGUGCAUCUGGAUUACGUAUACGUGGAAGGAGAAGAGACAACAUGUUUGAUGAGAGAGCAGGAAAAACAUGGACGAGAGGGGAAGGAUCUCGUGGGUUGAGGGAUUGACAAUUUUGUGCGGGGGAGAGAGGGAUUGGUAAUUUUGUGCAAGAGAGAGAGGGUGGGGGGAGGAGUCAGUCAGCCGUCGUCACAUCACCCUACUUCCAAAUGACCCCGCAUUCUCUAGCGCGGUGUCGCCGCCGUCUUCGAUCUGCUCGUUGCCCUCUUUGAAGAUUGAGGUGUUGUGCAUGUUGGGGUGCAAAGAAGCACAAGCGAGAGUGGUCGCCGUAUAACCUUGGAUGGGGAUGAAUUAUGUGCUCGGGGGAGUGUGUGUGUGUGUUGUGCGGCGUGUGUCUCUGUGUGUGUGUGUGUGAGAGAGAGAGAGAGAGAGAGAGAUUGAGAGAAAACAAACCUAAGGAGAGAAAUGGGUAUUCACGAAGAGAUUGUGUGGGCCUUGAGGUGGGCAGGGGCCGGGUGAGGGUGUCAAAAUGUGGGCAUUGAUGCAUGUGUUGCAUGCGACCGUGCGAGGGAUGGACGAAUCGAGAGAGAUGGUUGUUGUGUUACGGAUGCUCCUCUCUCUGUCUCUCUCUCUCUCCCUCUCUCUUUCUCUCUCACACACACACACACAAGUAAACUAGAAGACCGUUCUCUCAUGUAUACACAACAUAUCGGCAUUUGUCUAUGUCUCACUCAUGCACGAUCAUUUGCACAUUCACACCUCUCUAUGUCUGUAUCACACGCACACCGUCUCCACAUUGCCCUUCCGCCACAACACACAUAUGGACACAUACACACGUUCUCUCUCAGUCACACACACAAAAUCAGUAUUAAAAAAACUAGGGCGCACCUAAAACGUCCAAAUCCAAAUAAACACGAACUGGAGCUAAAUUCAAAUAUAUGGAAAUAUUGCAGCGUCAAGAACUUUCACAGGAAAAAGUUGAUUAAUAUUCGAGGAUUGUUUUCACACACACAAAAAGGUUCGGUGGAUGUCCUUCGAGCGCGACACGGUGACGCACCAUUCAAUCGACCGCGCGGCCGCAAUUCACGCGCUUGCAUAGGAUUCCGUAUCGUGGCUGUGGUACUAAGGCUGGUCACAAUGGGCAAGAACAUAAGCUAGUAACUAAUAAAAGCGCUGCCUAAGUCUAAUGUUUACGUGUACUAGUACGGUUUUCUUUUAAGUUUGACCAACCUUAUAUGUAAAACUAAAGUAAGCUCCCACACGCGCACUCAUCAAUAUGCCGCCGCCGCCUUUGCGCAUGCCGGUGCCCGCCUGCUCCGGCCAACAAUUUCUCGCCCAUCACCGUCGUGUCCCUGCCAUCCCUGUGCCAUGAAGCCGAAGGCUCGCCCGCUUACGUCGUCUGUAGUCCCUCUUCAUGAUGCCGCUACGCUGCCAAGCACGCGAGCAGCUGGUGGAGCCGCGUCUAUGCACACAGCGUACGAAGAGGAGGAUGAGCGCGUGCUACAGCAUGCCGACGAGGAGGAACUAGCGUGUCAUUGUCGUCUCUGCCCGUGCGGAGGAGGCGCGCAUGGUGGCUGUCGCGGCGGAAGCCGGUCGCGCGCGCGUCGAGCCCACAAACCGGGUGCGGAUGCGGAAUCUACCUUCGAGACCUUGAAUGCCACGUGGAUCCUGCAAUCUGAAGGAGCAAUUUGGGUCAGUCGACUCAUGUGAGCCGUUUGAUGCAACAUGGAUGGCUAGAAGGGCUUCUUCCACCUCUUCUGUCGUCUUCUUCCUUCGCUCCAUCGAACUUCUUUCACAAAUCGACUGACCCAAAUUAUACUACUAGUACGAGCGUAUUAAGUACAGUAGGAACACGAAGAUACGAGCAGUAGUACCAACUGCAAGAAGAACAGUAGUAAGACAUAGUAUUAGUACUACUAUACGUACUAAAGAGUUCAAAUAACGAGAAAGAACAUAAACAUAGUUCUGCUGGGGCCUCAGCACAACACACCCUUGAAAAUAAACUAAUAAGAAACUAGUCUGCUUGACACUGCAGUAGAACCAACAUGAGCGACGACACUUCCACCUACUUGGAGUCCGAGUCCACGUCCCCAACUUCGUCCUCGUCCCUCUUCCUCUUCCUCUUCGCCGACGCUUCUUUGCUUGAACCGGACACUGGGCUCUGCUUCUUCAUCCAACCCUUGUAGAUCAUUUAAACAAAGGUAGGCAUCCAUUGCUGCGUACAGGAUGUGAUCUUCAUCUAAUGUCUUCGACUCCCAUGCAUGAUGAAACUCGUGAUGAGGUUUCUUCAGUUUAGCGUACAAAGGAUCAAUCAUGGCUGCUGCGAAGGUCAGCAUUGAAGGUUGAGAGGAGGACACCAGGCUUGCCUUCUGGAGAUCGAAGGGCUGGCCUACAACGAGACCUAUCCGACGCAGGACGUCACUGUCAUUCUUAAAGCCUACAAUAACGAAUUUCACUCUUUUGUCCUUGAGGAAGUUCUUAAAAUCCUAACACUCAACGUCGGCAUGGCAUAUAUGGUAGACCAAGCAAACAUUAUGUACGCAAACCUGGAUCACGGCGGGCUUCUUCCUCUCUUCGUCCUUUAGAUCCUUCUCUCGUCCAAGGACUGUGGUGUACUCAACAUCUAGCCUAGCGACCCACUCAUCCAUUGAACUGUUGAACAUGCGUAGGAAGCGAGCAAGCCAUGCUUUCACCGUCUCGGAUCCACGUGUGUAGAUGACGAUGAACUGAUCGCCGGUGAUGGCUCUAACCUGGUACUCAGUGGCGACCAUGGAGAUUUGGGAGGCCAUGGAUUUUGGAGGAGGGUUAGGAGAAGUUGAACUGUUGUACCCCGCAAAAAAAACUGGGAGCGAACUAAUGUGAAAGGACGGGACGACUGGGAGCGAACUGUUGUAAGGUAGAAGACGAGGACAAGUAGGGUGUGCGAACGGUGUGGGGUCGCUGGCUUGCCCGGUGGAUAAACGGCUGCAAGCCCCCAAAGAGUUCUCGAGAACUACGCGGGACCCACUAGAUGUCAUGUCUACUAGACCCAUAUCGUAGGCCUGACGGUAUAGCUUCUGCCUAUUCGCACGCCAUGUCGGCGCGUGGAUGUAACUUCACUUAAUUCCGUCAAACGUCGCGCCUCCCACGACCUUCGCCUCCCUCGCGUGGCCGCGCCCUUUGAGACUUCGACCGGCUAUAAAUGAGCAUUUUUUUGCCUUUUUUAGACAAGCAAUUAUUUUUGCCUACUCCGCAUGCAUGAUACUCCCUCUGGUCCUUUUUACUCCCGUCAACCGUUUGCAAAGUGUUUGACCAAAUUUAUACUUUUUUUGAACACCACCUUAUAUUAAUUAACCAGCCACACCAGUACACUCAUUUGAUACAAUAUUCACUACACAUGGCGGUACGUUAUUUACAAGAAUACCAUCUAAUCUAUUGUCAAAGCUAUACUUAGCGAUUAAGUGUGCCACCUUAUUGGUCGAACGGCUAAUCUUUGACAAUUGAAGAUUGUUGAUCAACUUCGAGAUGCUCAACGCUUUCAUCUUCAGGUCACGCAUAGCAGACCUGUCAACGCUUUGACAGGCAUCAAUGAAAUCCCACGACCAAAUUUAUACUAAAACUAUCAAUAUCUACAAUACUUCCAAAACACUUAGGCGCGGUGCAUUAACUUCUACCUCGUUUCUUGUUUCUUGACAUAUCAACCAAUAGGAGAUGUGGGUGUGCAUGCUUUUAAUGACUUGAGACUACCAAACACGACAUGCAGUGGUUAGUUCAUUGCAUGCAAUGUUAUUAAUUAGCAAAUAAACAUUAAGAUCUCUCAUUUUCCCCUCCUCCUUGGUCACAGUGCACAAUCUAGGAUGACUUGCUCACCUAGACGGAGGGAGUACUGAUUAUAAUGAGUACUCCCUCCUUCCAUCUAUAUAGGGCCUAAUGCAUUUUCAAGACCGCCUUUGACUAUUGAUAAAAUUAAUACUACAUGACAUUCAUAAUGUGAAAAUUAUAACAUUGAAAGCUCUUUUCACAUACGAAUUUGAUGAUGUGCUUUGUGUAAGUUGCAUGGCAUAUAUUAUUGCUCUAACAAUUGGUCAAAGUUAGCCUCGAAAAACGCAUUAGGCCCUAUAUAGAUGGAAGGAGGGAGUAUAAGAACUAUGUUUUAUAAUGAGUGUAAAAAUAUUGAUUUGACAUUGUGAAUGUUGACACAUUGUGGAAUAGUUUUUGAAGUAUGCAAAAGUACUCAACUAGUGAUGUCGUUCUCCACAAAAAAAUGUGUUUACCAAUGCAUGCAUGAACUCUAGUUACUCUAACCCCCCCCCCUCUCUUCUUUAAUUCUUUGCCACAUCAGCAUGUUUGCUAUUCCCGUGUGCAUGAUACCAGCUAAGAUACCACCAUUAUGGCCAGCCUUAAUCAUCGCAUGCACUAAUUUAGUGCACCUUGAAAUAUGAACAUGUGUGGGGCGUGUUUGUUUUUAAUGACUUGAGACUAUACCUAGCCCGACAUGCAAGAUGACUUAUUAUGCACCAUUUCCCAUACCUGCAGGAGGCCCGUUCAUCUCCAAAUUUUUCCCUCUCCAUGUGUGGAAACAAUAUGCCUGCCAAACUCUCCUUCUCCCUCCGGCGGUCCCACCACUCCACCCCGUGUGAAAAAAUCUGCAUGCAUGACUCUCCUCCCCCCACGCUCAUCCAAUCCGUUGUGACCAGCAAUAUUUCCACCCCUUCGCUCCCCCGUAAUUUACUCCAACAAAUAUGCCCACGUAGUUGUUACUUAACUGCAGGUGCAUUUGGUCACUGACAUAUGGGCCCAACAGGGGUCUGGCCCACAUGUCAGUGACGCAACUGGACCGGCAGUUAAGUCAGUGCAGCUCAGUCCAUAUCAUACGUAGGUGUGCCAUUACUCGCUAUAAAUACUAUGCCUCCCACGACAUCGCUAUCUCCUCCCCCUCACGUUCACGUUCAUUGCUAUCUCCUCCCCCUCCCUCUCACGUCGACCACCAUGGCAUCGCCCCUCCCAAGCCCUAGGAGCCCCUCGCUGCACCGCGCGGACGGUCACGCGUCGCCGUUCCGUUCCUCGCCGCCACUAGUCGAGGAGGACGCGUCAGUGUUCCGCCCCUCGCCGCUACGCGACGCAUCGCCGUUCCAUUCCUCGCCGCCACUAGUCGAGGAGGACGCGUCGGUGUUCCGCUCCUCGCCGCGACGUGUCGAGGUGGACGCGUCGGCGUUCCCAAUCUCGCCAGCACGCGCGCCGGAGGAUGCGUCGGCUCCCCGCUACGAGGAGAACGCCGCGCCGCCCGCUGAGCCCCCCCCCCAGCCUUGAGGAGCUUUGGAAAGAAAUGGAUAUCGCCUUGUGGGAGGAUUUGCCUCCAGCAGAGCGCGCCAAAAUAGAGGCGGAGAAGAAGGCUGAGGAAGAGAAGCGCACCGCGGAACAAGCUGCCUGGGAGGCCUAUGUCACGUCCGAGAGAGUCAGGCAAUUGGCUCUUUGGUAGAAGGCUCGUGCGAGGGCCGUGAAGAUGGCGGAGGACGCCCGUGCCGACGCCCUGAGUGCAGUCGGGCCCAAGCGCCUCAUCUACGCUUGGUGGUACGUGGACCGGGUGCACGCUUCCAGUGACGAGGAGUACCAGUUGGCGCCGGAUCGCCACACCGGUGAGAUCGCGCUCGCCCGCCGGCAAGCCGCCAAUCAGCACCUCGCGAGUUGCAAGGCUGAGGAAGAGGCGUUGUGUCGGCGCGCUGGGAAACGGCCGCGCACCAGGGCACUCGUGGCGUGCCACAAGUGCUCCUACGAGCGACAUGGCUUUUAGGAGGAGUAUAAUUUUUGUUUCGUAAGGCGAUCUCAUAAUUUUGGGACACAAAUGAUAAAUCCCGAACAUUCAGGAAUUUUUAGCGUCCUUAAUUAAGUAUGUAAAAGGGAAAGUUUGGAAACCUUGUGUAUUUGUACGCAGUUUGCAAGUACGUGCAUAUAGCACAAACUUUACUAUAUACUAUCGCAGGAAAAGAAUUCUAUGAGACCAGGUCUCAUGCGAGACCCAUCCUGAUGGAUGACACGUGGCAUUCACAAAUCAUAAAGUCCCCCCAUCCCCACUUAAAAGCCACGUGUCAUCCAUCAGAACGGGUCUCACCUGCUAACCGUGAGACCUGGUCUCAUAUACGAGUAAUUUUUUUUCCACUAUCGCACUACACGUCUCUCUCGAUAUAUGCUUGCAGACUAUGCUACUCCCUCCGUCCAGGUCAAUAAGUCAUCUUCGGUUGUGCACCGUGACCAAGAAGGAGGGAAGACUUAUACACCUAGACAGAUGGAGUACUACUAUUACUUAUGUACGUGCAAAUGCACGUUUUAACAUUAUGAUGCGGUUUUUGUAAAAGUAGAAAAACAGCACUAGUCAAGCUUGUGAAACAAUUCAAUGCAAAACAAAUGCAAAAAUGCUCGUUUGAUUGUUUACUUUUAGCUUCCUUCUCUGUGGUUAUUUCUCUGUCGUACUUUGUAUGGAGUAUCUCACUGGUUGGAAAGGCAUGCAAAUUCCCAAACCGCUUCCUACACCCUGUAUUUCACUGGUUGCCGACAUUGACGUUGUCAGCCAUGUCGUCGAGGAUGAGGUUGCCGAGGUCGGGGAAGAAGUCAUUGUCCGCAACUAAUCAUGUGGACUAGCAUAGUAGUAGGAUACAGAGUAGAAACAUGAAUUUUACCAUGAUUUCGAACAGAAAGGACAGAAACACAUACGGUGCAAAGGGAGCAGCACCGUUGACGUUGAGGUUGUCACCCAUGUCCAAACACCACGUAGACAUGGUCUUUGAGCACGGUUCGUAGUAGUUCCACGCUCGGGCAUUAAAGUUUGUAACUAUUUUAGAUUAGAAUAUACUAAUCCUCCGGUGCUAGUAGUAGAGCAGAGUCCUACUCUACUACUCUACUCAAGCAAGUUAGGGCAUAGCAUUGUAGGGAGUACCAGUACUGUGAUCACUCAAGCAAGUUGUCUGGCAUCGACAUGACCCUACGCUGCUGGUAUGUGUCUCGUAAGUCAAGCGGCAUGCUAUAGUCAGCAUCACCUGUCCACUUCCCGCAGCACAUAUUCGCUUCUCCAUCUUUGUCUGCACAUAAUCUCGUCCAAUCUUCCAUCCCCGCUAAGGCGCCUCCCCCCUCGUCCGAAACCCAAGCACUAACAAUGGCAGAACCGAGCAGCGUCUGCCGAAAGAGUGGCUGGAAUUCGCUCCGCACAGAGGUAAUCAAGCUCAUUGUUUCGUGUGUGGACAAUCUCAGUACCAUGCCGCUCACCGCAUGCUCGUCGGGGCUGUACCGUUUACUCAAAGCCCUCAGGCCAGAGCUUUUUAAGCCAGCUCCUUGCUUGCUGAUGUUGCCUGAUCUUCAGAAACGGCGUGUCACGCUGCAUAACGAUCAAAGGGUGGCGAGCAUCAACCCCUUGACUGCUAUCCGAUCCCCGUCAGCCUCAACUACAUUAACGGUAUGUACUGGGUCGGCAUGAACACGUCUUGGAUGGUGCUCGUCAACGGUCGCGGCAGCUGGAUGCUCGUGGAGGUCUACACCCGGCGAUUGAUCCCCCUUCCUUCGAUUAACACUGCACUGAUUUGGCACCGCGGCCCAGAAUACUCGGAAUCUUACAGUAGCCAACAUGAUACCAAGUUUGAUUUGCUCAAGGUUGUAAUCUGCCAAGUGCCCACAAGAUCUGCGAAUUAUAAAGACUUCGGGCUAAUUGCGUUCUUCAACCGCGGUCUCGCCUAUCUGACAGGUCACUGCAGUAAGUGGAUAAAUUUGCAUGUCCAUCGCAGGAUCAUACAUCCUCCAUGGUUCUCUAAUGCCAUUGAACACAAGGGCUUCAUUUAUGCUGUUGACUCCUUCUAUGGAUGGACGUAUUGCUGGCCUACUCCAGUCAUCGCUACAAACGGCUGCUACAGCAGUGUUACUUUCCUAUGAUAUCAUGAUGGCUUGCUUAUAUUACUGUCAAUAUUUGCUGAAAAAUAUUCAUGCUCAUAACAUGCUGUUCUUAAGAUUGACUAAACCAAGAGCCCUUUUUUAUUUGACUCCAACUUGAUAUGAUGUUGUAGGCCGCCUGGUGUCCCUACCCUUCCUAAUCCUAGAACCUUUCAAAGAAAAGCGGCAUGGCAGUUGCAGGUGGUUCCUGGCUCGAUCAGACGAUGGCGAAAGAUUGAUGAUCGUUCGCACGUACCGGACGUGUUAUUUCGCGGAAUACAAUCACAGUCACUGCAAGGUCUUUGAGCAGGAUCCCAGCUUCUCUGGGCCUUCAAGAAUUUUUGACUGGAGGCUGGUAAGUAGCCUUGGUACACGCUCUUUGUUUGUCGGACUGAAUUAGCCGAUUAACUAGGAGAUAACCGACGGCAAGGAUCAUGAUGGCAGCGCGGUUUCAUUCAUCAGGAAAAACUCUGUGUACACAGCGUACCAUGCGUCUCUGCAUGCACCAUACCCUGAUAUGUGCCGCCACGCUCUACAGCCCAAAGUAGGAGAGAGGAUCGCAAGUAUCAGACUUCGACCUGCUAGCUGGAGUUUCCCCCGUCAGGCACCCAUCUGGUUCAAGCCGUCAGCCAAUCUCCACAGCUUAAUAAAUAGUAACGUCUAACUGAGCAGUUAGUUAGAUGCGUACACUUGGUGUAGUAGGAUCUUUAUUUAGUUUGAUUCAUACACUUGUUCUUUUUUGGUAGCCCUUUUGUAAUAAUGGCUGAUGUUUGGUUUGGAAGAGAGAGCUGCGUCUUCACUCUUCUGGCCUGCUUACUGCUUCUGUUGCACCCCCAGCCCUGGUUGCUGCUGCUGCUGUUUUCAAUGUACAAUCAGUACUAUAUUUCGUCUGUUGGUUGAAUAAAUGUGUUGUUUGAACGACAAACACAAUGUUUUGGAAGUCGUCGCACGGUUCGAUCCUUUAGUGCCCCGUACCGUACGUAGCGCAUACUAUUUAUCGUACGGAACACAUUUUUUUUUUGAAACUCGGAACACAUUUUCCACUUGUUGAUAACAUGCAACCCACUGAUGAAGGCCAAAUAGAGAAGCCCAUAAUUAACUGGAAGGGAGGCUCUCACAUGAAUCCGGCCCAGGUACAUGCUCAUGGUCCCCUAAACAUAAAUAAGUAAAUAAAUAAAUAAAUAAAGAUAAAUGCUCAUGCACCAGUUCUUUGGGAAAAUAGGUAGCCCAGUAUUUCUUUUUGAAGAAUACCCAAGCUAGGCCUAUUUGUUUUCUCCGAAUUACUGGGCUGCAAAUCUUUCAAGACGAGGAGGGAUGCAUUCCGGCUUGGCUUAAGAGUAUGGUCAAUGUCUGUUAAAAGUAAUAUCAAAAGGGGUUGAAAAUUCCAAAAAAAUUAUAGCAAAUGGGAUAUAAGUUUCUUUUUUUGUUUUUGUUCUUCACUGAUAUCUUAUACGUAUUUCAUUGGAUUUAACAUGACAUAGUACUAAUUAAUUUUUAAUUUGUUUUAGUAUGGCUAUUAAUUUUUGGAUUAAGAAUAUUUCGUUCCCCAGCAAAAAUUUUGCGAAUUUAAUUUCAAAAUUUCCCACAUAGUUAGUUAAUUUUUUGACCCUGGUACUGACCAGAAAAUGGCCAACAAUUCUAAAAAUGGAAAACGGGCUGCAAUAAAUUCCAUAUGAAUAAGAAAAUGAGUAAAAAUUAUAAAAAAUAAUGGCAAAUGGGUUGUACACGCCAGAGAUUUCAAGGCUGGCUUGUUUACGCAAGGCUUUGUCAGUGAACACACGAUUCUAGUAGCAGUUAGUGUUGGAUGUCCAUCCAAUGGCCGACGUGCUUCUUCAAUCUCUGAUCUUCCUGCUCCAGACGCCUAAACUAGCACCGGUGGGACUGCCUGCUCCCUCCUCUUGUGGCCCGUUGUGAUGCCGCGUAGGCUUCCCCGGCCCACCCUACUCCCUCUGAUGGCCUGGCCGCACGCAAUCAACUGCCUCCUUAUUACGCGAAAAAAAUGAUUCCUCCCACUGACAUCUGGGGCGCACCAGUUGGGAGGCUGACCUGUGGGCCUACUAAGUUGAUGUGUAUGCAGGGCUUGUCAACUUAGUCAACAGACGAUUCUAGCAGCAGUAACCGUUUGAUUUGAAUUGAACGGUCCUGAUGCUUCUUCAAUCGCUGCUCUUCUUGCACCAGCCACCCAAACUAGCGCCGGGGAGACCGUCUGCUCCUGCCUCCAGUGGCCGGCUGUGCUGCUGAUGAGGCCUCAUCGCCCCCUACUACUCCCACCGCUAGCCAGGCCCUGCGGCGACGGCAGCCUCACACCGCAGCCAAACCAGUGAACCCUCGUACUCCUCUCCGCGUGGGCAUCCACUGCCGCGACUUCCCCGACUCCGUGUCGUCCCCUUCCUAGGCCUCGCUGUCGUCCACCGCCUUGGUGCUCUCGGCACGGCGUGGUCAACGUGGUCAACGACAUUCCAUUGGAAGAGUACUGAACGUGGAGAGGCUCACAGCUGGGUCCACGGCCACAGCCCAGUUUUUUUGUGAUUUGCCAAGUAAGUCGCUUUGUCAGGCCUGUUGGGCUGCAAAUCUUUCAAGACGAGGAGAGCUUUCAUUCGGCUAGCCGAGAAAAUGGCCCAUCAGUAAUGAGAAAUGGGUUGUACAUUUUUAAAACACAUCAAACCGGCAAUUACUUUCAAAUAUCUUUUCUUCAUUUCGAGAUUUGAAAUUACAUUAAUUUUUAUGCGUGGAGAAUUUGUUGGAUUUUAUAUUGAUAUACAUUUAUUUUUUAAAUCAGUUUGAAUGUGAGUCGAAAUUUCGGGAUUAAAAACAGUUCGGACCACACCAAAAUAUGCAAAAUUUCGUAUAAUUUUUUAAUCGUGGCCGCAAUAUGGGCUGUAAUGCUAACAAAAAGAAUAUGGGCUCCAAAAAAACCUUAAUAAUUAGCAAAUGGGUUGUAAAUUAUUAGAAAUAAUGGCAGAUGGGUUGUAUGUUGUUUUCCACAGAUUUGAGGCUUUCCUAAAAAAAAGGUUGACGCACAAACAGUGACUGUUGGAUGGCCAUCCAACGAUCGUCGUGCUUCUUCAAUCUCUGCUCUUCCUACUCCAGCCACUCAAACAGGCGCCGGCGGGACUGCCUACUCCCUCCUCCCCGCGGCCGGCUCUGCUGCCGCGCAGGCCUCACCAUCCCAUCGUACUCCCAUCGCUGGCCUAGCCAUCCCUCUACUCACCCACACCUGCUGUUAUUCUCUGGCGACGGCAGACGAACCAGUAAACCCUCGUAUAGUCAUACUCCCCUCCGCGUGGGAAACAACUGCCGAGCCUUCCCUGCCUCCGUGUCGUUCCCUUCCUAGGCCUCGUCGUCGUCCACCGCCCUAGUGCUCUCGGCGCGGCCUGGUCAACGUGGUCAACGACCGACAUGCAUCUGAAGUGGACUGUACGUGGAGAGGCCGACAGCUGGGUCCAUGGCCGCAUGUAAGGAAAUGGCUCCUUAUUACGCGCAAAAUAAUGAUUCCUCCACCUGACAUCAGGGACCCACCGAAAGGGACUCUGUAUUUCGCGAAAAAAACGUUACCGCCACUGACAGCUUGGACCCACCAGCUAUAUCUUCGCACGCAAGGAAGUGCCUCCUUAUUACACUCAAAAAAAUGAAUACCCCCCUGCUAGCUAGGACCCACCUUGGUGGGAGGCUGACUUGUGGGCCUACUAAGUUGACGGGGACGGAGGGCUUUGUCAACUAAGUCAAUAUGCACGAUUCUAGCUCCAGUGACCGUAUGAUGUCCAUCCAACGGCCGUAGUGCUUCUUCAACCUCUGGUCUUCUUGCUCCAGCCGCCCAAACCAGCACCGGUCGUGCCUCGUGCUCCUCCUCCCGUGGCCGGCUGCGAUGCGGCGGAGGCCUCACCGCCCCCUACUACUCCCACCGCUGGCCAGGCCAUCCGUCUACUCACCCACACCCCCUUUUAUUCUGCAGCGACGUCAGCCUCACACCGCAGUGAACCAGUGAACCCUCGUACUCCUCUACGUGUGGGCAUCCACUGCCGCGUCUUCCCCAGCUCUGCAUCGUCCCCUUCCUAGGCCUCGCCGUCGUCCACCGCCCUAGUGCUCUCGGCGCGGCGUGGUCAACGUGGUCAAGGAACGGCUUCCAUCGGGCGUGGACUGUACGUGGAGAGGCUGACAGUUUGGUCCACGGCCGCAGCAAGGAAGUGCCUCCUUAUUACGUGCAAAAUAAUUAUUCCUCCACCUGACAGCGGGACCCACCGGACGGGCCACCGUAUUUUGCAAAAAAAACAUUUCCCCCUGACUGCUGGGACCCACCAGCUACAUCUUCGCACGCAAGGAAGUGCGUCCGGGCAAAAAAAUGAUUCGCUCCCUGACUGCUGGGACCCACCAGCUACAUCUUCACAGGCAAGGAAGUGCCUGACAGUCAGGACCCACCUGGUCGAAGCGUAUGUAGCGUUGUCAUUCUGGUCGCGAACGUGUACGUACAUACUGGUCGAUGUAGAGGCGCGCACGUGUCGUAGUAGAGGCGCGCACGUAGCAUUUACACGUACGUACAGCGGCCAGGGUGCAAGAAAUAAAAUACGGCCAUGUAUGUGCACAUACGGGCGGGGUCUCGAACGCCUACUCACGCAUACGUACGGCCAGGGCUCGUGUACAUGGCUGGGUCGGAACGGAGAAACAACGUUGUCGUCGUGUUCAUGGGGAGGCAACGGAAUGCGUCGUGUUCAUGGGGAGGCAACGGAAUGCAUCGUGUUCAUGGGAAGGCAACGGAAUGCGUCGUGUUCAUCGGGAGGGCUUGGAUGGAACAGGCGAUGGAAACGAGGCCUGGCGUACCGCAGAACGGAGGAAACGACCUUGUAUUCGACUGGCCACAUUCGUAACAGGAUCCUGUUCAUCGGGAGGGGUCUGGUGUACCGCAAAACGGAGGAAACAGACCUCCUACGGUCGAAACGGGGGUCCUGUUGAUCAGGAGGGGUGUGGCAUACCGCAAAACGGAGGAAACGGACUUGUGUUGGAGCGCUAUGGUCGAAAUGGGGGUCCUGUUCACCGGGAGGGGUGCGGCGUACCGCAAAAUGGGACUCCACGGGAUACUGUUCAUCUCCACUGUCGACCUCCUCCAGCCUCCACGGGUGCCUGUUCAUCCAGCCUCCACCGCGCGCUACUCCACCGGCUACUGUUCAACCACCCCUCCACCGUCUACUGUUCAUCCAACCCUCCACGCCACGGGGUCCUGUUCAACCACCCCUCCACGGGCACCCCUCCACCCUCUACUGUUCAUCCAGCCCUCCACACAACGGGGUCCUGUUCAACCAUCCCUCCACCAUCUNNNNNNNNNNNNNNNNNNNNNNNNNNNNNNNNNNNNNNNNNNNNNNNNNNNNNNNNNNNNNNNNNNNNNNNNNNNNNNNNNNNNNNNNNNNNNNNNNNNNNNNNNNNNNNNNNNNNNNNNNNNNNNNNNNNNNNNNNNNNNNNNNNNNNNNNNNNNNNNNNNNNNNNNNNNNNNNNNNNNNNNNNNNNNNNNNNNNNNNNNNNNNNNNNNNNNNNNNNNNNNNNNNNNNNNNNNNNNNNNNNNNNNNNNNNNNNNNNNNNNNNNNNNNNNNNNNNNNNNNNNNNNNNNNNNNNNNNNNNNNNNNNNNNNNNNNNNNNNNNNNNNNNNNNNNNNNNNNNNNNNNNNNNNNNNNNNNNNNNNNNNNNNNNNNNNNNNNNNNNNNNNNNNNNNCUAACUAUUCAUCCCAUCGAUCGGCUUCAGUUAGCAGCAGUAGCGAAGGAAUAGCUCGAUCGGGUUCAGUUAACAGCCAUCGAUUGAUCGCUCGGGUUCAGUAACGCGUAGCCUGCAGUGCAAUCACUCGGGUUCAGUUAGAGCCCAACGCCUCGCUCAGGUUCAGUUAGAGCCAAUGCCUUCACAUACGUGCGUACGUGUAUGAGAGAAACGCGCAUCGCUCGGCCCCCGACCUCCCACCGUAACCGGGAACUCCCCGAAAUUUUCCUCCCCCUUGCUUCUACCAUGGUUUUUUCCGUCAUGGACGGCCCAAAGAAUGUCAUGCAGCUGCGUCUCCGGCCCGCCCAGGAUGAAAAGCCCAUGUUUUGUCAUAGAAGUAGGAGCCCACCACAUCUAUGAUGAUACCGGGUUUUGUCACAAUUAUCGUCAUAGAAGUGUCAUAUGUAUGACAGAAAAAAAAUUCGUUAGGCCCAAAAUGUCACGGAUGUGUCUUUUUUUUUGUAGUGCACCAAGCUGAAUUAUGACAAUUAAAUCAUGGCCAAAGUUGACCAGAUGCUUCUGAAAAAGUACUAGAUAAGCCUUUUGCAUAAAUUACAGAAAAGUCAUCCUCAUUUUUUAUAAUGGAAUAAUGGCAAUUAACAAGUUAGCGCAUUUCCUCUUUUACAUGAAGUGAGUUCUUUAGAAAUUGAUACUAUAAUGGAGCAUUUAGAAGUUUGCUCAAGAAAAUGAUGGCAGGGCUUGAACAACAAUGUGGCUUUUAACAAAAAAAGAAUCUUCCUAUACGCAGUCCAGCACAAGCUGCAACUACACAUCUAGUCCUAGCAAAAUUUCAAGAACUUAUUAAAACAGAGAAGAUUAAGAAAGAAGCCUCUUGGGCCAUAUCCACUAGUAGAAAAUGGGCCAUUUGUCCCGGUUCCCGAUGCCCAUUAGCCCAAAACCUUUAGUCCCGGUUCGCUUACGAACCGGUUGGUAACACCAACCGGUACCAAAAGUCAUCCACGCGUCAGCAGCUGGCAGGAGCAGGGGUUUUUAGUUUUUUUAAAGGGGGGUUGGAGGGUUAAUUUAGGGGUUACAUAUAUUGUGUUAGCUAGCUAAUAGACAGAAGUGACCUCUCUUAUCUCCGUGCUUGGUCGACGCUAGCUACUAUACGUAUAGAGAGAACUCGGCAUGCUAGCUACUAAGCAAAUGAAGGAACCAUUAAGUAAACAAGAUCGUCAUGAACAUCUACAGAGAGGAGUGAUCGACCUCUCUUUCUCUGAGAGAUUGGUCGAACAACAAGUUUUCGUAUAUCUAUCCGACGCUACUAGCUACAUAUAUACAAUAUAAGAUCUCUUACAAUCCCUAACAUCUCAUGUCUAUAUCAAUUUCCACAUGGUAUUCUCCGUCUUUAUUGAUGAUGUGGUCAAGAAAGAAUCCCGUCAAUUCCUCUUGAAUUGCUCGUAUGCAAUCUUGUGGUAGGAGUUCAUGCCGCAUCUGCUAGGUCUAAAUUGAAGAAGGGGGUCAAUACAUGUAUAUGAAUGAAACUCAACACAAACGAUGGUAAUAAAAUAAAAUUGUGAAUAUUUUUGCUUACGUACCUCAUAUUGUUUUUCAGAGUAGCCCCGCUUAUUAGAGGCCGUCAUGUUGUAGACGAACUCGCAAACGUAGUAUCCACAGAAAUCAUUCCUGCAUUCCUGUCACAAGCACUUUACGAGAAAUAAAGGUCAAUCAAACUGAUAAGCAACCAUGCUAAAUGGUUUUGAUGAAACUAGCUAGAAUCAACGGGAGAUGCGCGGAACUAGGUAGUAGAACUUACUUUCAGGUGUAUAAUCACAGCUCGCUCGGCAGUCCCGGAGCAAUUACGGUGAACUCUUUCCAAACCCUGGCAGAUUAGCGACGAUAUCGCUAGACACCUUGAGGGGGGGGCACGAUUGGUUCGCUUGUUCGCCGAACUGGGGAAUUUUGUUCCCACUUCUUUGUUCUGCUAACCUUUUAUCACUGGAAGUACUUCCCGACCGCCGCACAUCUUCAUGUCUUUUUAAGAGCGCGGACAUAAUUGGAAUCCGGCGAAGACGGUGGUGGUCUCUUUAGGGCAUCAAUAGUGUGCUUCGAUUUCACUGGAUCUAUCGUCUCCUUCGGAGGUUCCUUUGCAAAAAAGUCCCUCACUUGGGAUUGACAGAUCUCCGUGUUUUCCUUCUCAGUCCUCUCGUAUGGUAACUUUUUCAGAGUCUUGAGAGAUGGACCGUAUCUGAAUUGCCUCCCGCCUCUAGAUGUACUGCUAGCUGCCGGAGCGGCGACGUCUCUCUUCCGUCGUUGCUUACGAGGCGGAGAAGGAUGCGGAGUGAUCCGACGCGCCGGAGGAGCUGGAGCGGCGGCAUCUGUCUUCCGCCGUUGCUGACGAGGCGGAGGAGGAGGCGGACUGCUCGAACGCGCCGGAGGAGGCGGACUGCUCGAACGCGUCGGAGGAGGCGACGGAGGAGGCGGAGUGCCGGCCUCAUGCGUCGGAGGAGCCGUAGAAGGAGGUGGAGUGCCUUCGUCACUCGCCGGAGAAGGAGGAGGAGGACCAAUGGUUGGGGGCCAGGAGCGAGGACCAUUGGUCCCGGUUCGUGUCUGGAACCGGGACCAAAGGAGCCAGACGAACCAGGACCAAUGCCCCCACGAGGCCCGGUCGGCCCCCUGGCCUCACGAACUAGGACCGAUGCCCCCAUGGGUCCCGGUUCGUGAGUGAAUUGGGAUUAAUGGGCUCACCCGGCCUGGACCAAAACCCUAUUUUCUACUAGUGAUCCAACAUAAAAGACCUAUGGAGCAGAUUCAGGUUGGAAAACUUUGUUAGCAUAUUGUUGUCUUGCAAACUUAAAAUGAUGUUAUUGUAUACAUUUCAUUUGUUUCGAAGACACCGUUUAGUUUAAACUAGGUUGAUAGCACAACAGUGGGAAAUGCUUACUAGGAAAAUCCCAGGUAAAGAAAAUGACAAAGUGCUGACAUUUUAGAUUCAAUCUUUCAUUUCUCAUGUAUACUGGUAUUGUUAUACAAGUCAAAAAGUUCUUGAGCAUACCACAUCGCCAUAAAUAAAUCAAAUGACCCCGCUUACAAGUACCAAGCUCAUAUUCUUAGCAGGUAUCGAACAAUAGCCCCAUAUGCGUCUGCGCAUGAAUUAUAAUCAAGAAGCAACAUACAAUUGCUCAACUUAAUCAAAUAAUAUUGAUUGAUAUUGCCUUCAUGAGACAUUAUUUGAUAAACUGGAUAGAAGAUGGCAUCCUCACUUCCUCGGUGAUUAAUGUUUCAGCUAAAGCACGCGGGAGGCAUCAACAUCAAACAAAAUGGGAAAUGUAAUUCACUAGGGUAAUUUAAUUAAUUUGCAAAGAAUGAAAUUGUCAGUUGUUGCUGGUGCCUCAACUUGUAAACUGUUGUUCCAACUAUAGUCUAUACUCAUUCAACCUAGUACUAAUUUUCAAAUAAACUCGCCCAAUAAUCCUAAGCGGGAAUAAACCAACAAAUCAAUUGAAUUUCUAGAAAAUUCAACAAGCAAUAGAUGUGAAUCCUUCAUGAUCUGGAGAGAUGGAACCGAUUACCUGGAGUGAAGCCACCGGAUCUGCCAGAAAAGGCUGGAAGAGGAGCAGACCGGGAUUAGGCCUAGCGCCUUGUCCAGGGGGUGCUCUUGCUAGUGCAUUAGUAGGUUGGUAGCCACCAUCAGUCUGGCACCCCUCGUAUCACCAUCUCCACCUGAAUUUCGCAUUGCCAAGAGGGUCAACAUUUUUUUUAGUAAACUGCAGCUGAUGGCACAAGUCAGAACAAAAGAAGUCGAAUGUAAAAGCUCAGAUGUGUUGGAAAUAUGAGCAGAUUACUACGAGAUUUAAUCCGAAUAAAUAGAAGAUAAAUCAUGACUACAGUAGCAAAGAUUAAACUAAUCAUGCGAACUAGCAUAGCAGAUGAACAUAUCACAUCUAGGGCACAUACUAGAAACAUGAAUUCUACCACGAUCUCAAACAGGAAGGAUAAAAUCACAUACGGUGUAACAGGAUUAGCACCACCGGUGUUGACGUUGUCGCCCAUGUCGUCGAGGAUGAGGUUGCUGAGGUCGGGGAAGAAGUCGUCGUUCGCGAAGUCGUCGCUGCCAGCAGUCGCGCGAGUGCUGUCGGUGUCAAAACCGGUGGUUCUCGGGUAGGGAGUCCCGAACUGUGCGUCUAGGCCGGAUGGUAACAGGAGGCAAGGAACACGAUGUUUUACCCAGGUUCGGGCCCUCUUGAUGGAGGUAAAACCCUACGUCCUGCUUGAUUAAUAUUGAUGAUAUGGGUAGUACAAGAGUAGAUCUACCACGAGAUCAAGGAGGCUAAACCCUAGAAGCUAGCCUAUGGUAUGAUUGUUGUAUGAUGAAGUUGUCCUACGGACUAAAACCCUCCGGUUUAUAUAGACACCGGAGAGGGUUAGGGUUACACAAAGUUGGUUACAAUUGUAGGAGAUCUUGAAUAUCCGCAUCGCCAAGCUUGCCUGCCACGCCAAGGAAAGUCCCAUCCGGACACGGGACGAAGUCUUCAAUCUUGUAUCUUCAUAGUCCUGGAGUCCGGCUGAAGGUAUAGUCCGGCUACCCGGACACCCCCUAAUACAGGACUCCCUCAGUAGCCCCCAAACUAGGAUUCAAUGACGACGAGUCUGGUGCGCAGAUUAUCUUCGGCAUUGCAGGGCGGGUUCUGCUCCAAAUUCUGUGUACUUGCUGAAUAACGUCUGAUUUUCGUAAUGUAGUGCACCUUGGCUUCCACGCCCAAUAAUGGUCGUCUUCCACGUGUCAAACGAAUGCGAAAAGUCAGGGUGUUUUUACAUUCACACCCCUAGCCGCAUAAAUGAGCCGCCUAUUUAAUGGGAUGGGUAUUCAGAUCCAAACCACACCUUCUCCUCCCGCGAGUAAUCAUUAGAGCGCCUCCAGCAAAGGUCCAUUCCAACAUGGCCAGCCAUCACAGUUCCUCCUCUCGCCCUUCCAGUCCUAAACCCGGAGACUGGGAGAGGUGCUCCAUCCUGCACAACGAGCUAGUGUCGCUUCAGGCCAAGGGAUUUCUCCCUUAGGCCUAAAUGGUCCCGGUCCGAGCCGGACUCGCCACCUAUAAUGGUGGAGAGCAAGCAGAGAGCACCCCCAAUCCCUCCAAAGGAGAGCGGGUGUGCCUCGUCCCAUAUCUAAUAAGAGGACUUGGAUUUCCAAUUCAUCCAUUUCUCCGUGGGCUUCUGGAGUUCUACGGCCUCCAGCUGCACAAUCUCACGCCCGGCUCUAUAUUACAUAUCGCGGGCUUCGUCGCCCUUUGCGAGCUAUUCUUGGGUGUUUAGGCUCAUUUCGCGCUGUGGAAGAGGUUAUUCUGCCUGGUGCCCCGCUCUAAGGAGGGGUCAAUGUAACAAGUGGGCGGAGCCAAAGUGUGGCGCAUCGUCGGGACCGGUUAUCUAUCCGGAACCCCAAAUAAGGCGUCCGAAGACUGGCCUUCGGAAUGGUUUUAUAUAGAGGACGUCCCGCUGCCGGAUCCUGUUCGGAUCAGCCUCCCUGAGUUCAACAGUGCUCCUUUAAAGAAGCGCCUGAGCUGGCGUCCACGGAGCCCUCAGGGGGAAAGUGACAGGGACAUCAUUUACCUGAUGGGCCGAAUAAGAUUGUUAGCCCAUUCCGGACUGACCAUGAUCGGGGUUAUGGCCGAACGCAUUAUGCGGGGGGUGCAACCACUUCAGUAUAGAAGCCACCCCAUGUGGGACUUCAACGGGGAGGACGACGCCACCCACUACGGCCGUAAGGGGCCGGAUUCGGCUGCCGCUCUACUAAAGAUCUUGUCCACUUUGUAUAAGGGAGAAGAGGAGGAAUUUCUCCGCGUCAACCCGCAGGGUGGAUUCUCUAUGCAUAAUCCACCAAGCUGGGUAAGCGGCCGCAUUUACUUGCCCAUCCGUUUUGUAUUCCCAUUGUUAAAUAUUUAGUCUAACAACUUCAACGUAGGAACUGCGCCGGGCUAUUAAGGAAACAAACAGCCCUCCUCCACAACCCGAGGACCCAGGAAGGUCCCUCGACCCGGCCUCUCAAGAGGAUCCGGACAUAUCUGUGGAGCUGAUUGAUGGAGUGUUCCAUCAAUUAAGCAAGGACAACGCCUUGGUGGCCAUUACGGCCGAUUACCCAAGGCUAAUCUCGGCCUCCCAGGUAACUGAGAUCAAAGUCCCAGUACCCUGAAUAGGUGUCCGCCCUCUCGUGUUUGCAGUUUUAUGGUUACAAUCAAGCUUUGCAGGGGAGGUUUUUGAGACGGGAGGCCGAACCUGCGGCGGCAAGCCAAGGAGGGGCCGCAGGGCCCCGUGGGCAGAAAAGAGGUGCAGUCCGAACCGAGGCGUCAGCGCAAAGGUAUGGUGCCCCCCCUUAUCCCAGGUGUUACACCUGGGAGGCAUAUUAACACUCGUGCUCUCUUCAGGACAAAGAGACCUCGCCGGACUAUACCCGGAGAGGCUGCCAACCGCGUCUCCGCCAGCCAGGCUACAAAGCCUGGUCCGGAGGCGGAGGCGAACACCAGGCGCGCACUGGACGCUCCUCCGAUGGAGGAUGUGGACAGGUUGUUGUUGGGGAACGUAGCAACAAUUCAAAAUUUUCCUACGUGUCACCAAGAUCAAUCUAUGGAGUCAUCUAGCAACGAGGGAGGAGUAGAUCUACGUACCCUUAUAGAUCGCGUGCGGAAGCGUUCAAGAGAACGGGGUUGAUGGAGUCGUACUCGUCGUGAUCCAAAUCACCGAUGAUCCUAGCGCCGAACGGACGGCACCUCCACGUUCAACACACGUACGGAACGGAGACGUCUCCCACGCCUUGAUCCAGCAAGGAGGAGGGAGAGGUUGAUGGAGAUCCAGCAGCACGACGGCAUGGUGGAAGUAGCGGGAUUCCAACAGGGCUUAGCUAAGCGCUGCGGGAGGAGGGAGAUGUGUCACGGGAGGGAGAGGGAGGCGCCAGGCCUUAGGUAUGGUUGCUCCUCCUUAUCCCCACUAUAUAUAGGGCCAAGGGAGAGGGGGUAGGCGCAGCCCUUGCCCCUUCCUCCAAGGAAGGGUGCGGCCAAGGGGGGGAGGAGUCCAUCCUCCCCAUGGCACCUUGGAGGUGCCUUCCCCCUUUAGGACUCUCCCCUUUUUUUCUUCUCUUGGCGCAUGAGCCUCUUGGGGCUGGUGCCCUUGGCCCAUAUAGGCCAAGGCGCACCCCCUACAGCCCAUGUGGCCCCCCGGGGCAGGUGGCCCCACCCGGUGGACCCCCGGGACCCUUCCGGUGGUCCCGGUACAAUACCGGUGACCCCGAAACUUGUCCCGAUGGCCGAAAUAGCACUUCCUAUAUAUAAUUCUUUACCUCCGGACCAUUCCGGAACUCCUCGUGACGUCCGGGAUCUCAUCCGGGACUCCGAACAACUUUCGGGUUAACGCAUACUAAUAUCUCUAUAACCCUAGCGUCACCGAACCUUAAGUGUGUAGACCCUACGGGUUCGGGAGACAUGCAGACAUGACCGAGAUGACUCUCCGGCAAAUAACCAAUAGCGGGAUCUGGAUACCCAUGUUGGCUCCCACAUGUUCCACGAUGAUCUCAUCGGAUGAACCACGAUGUCAAGGACUUAAUCAAUCCCGUAUACAAUUCCCUUUGUCUAACGGUAUUGUACUUGCCCGAGAUUCGAUCGUCGGUAUACCGAUACCUUGUUCAAUCUCGUUACCGGCAAGUCUCUUUACUCGUUCCGUAACACAUCAUCCCGUGAUCAACCCCUUGGUCACAUUGUGCACAUUAUGAUGAUGUCCUACCGAGUGAGCCCAGAGAUACCUCUCCGUUUACACGGAGUGACAAAUCCCAGUCUCGAUUCGUGCCAACCCAACAGACACUUUCGGAGAUACCUGUAGUGCACCUUUAUAGACACCCAGUUACGUUGUGACGUUUGGUACACCCAAAGCAUUCCUAUGGUAUCCGGGAGUUGCACAAUCUCAUGGUCUAAGGAAAAGAUACUUGACAUUAGAAAAGCUUUAGCAUACGAACUACACGAUCUUUGUGCUAGGCUUAGGAUUGGGUCUUGUCCAUCACAUCAUUCUCCUAAUGAUGUGAUCUCGUUAUCAAUGACAUCCAAUGUCCAUGGUCAGGAAACCAUAACCAUCUAUUGAUCAACGAGCUAGUCAACUAGAGGCUUACUAGGGACAUGGUGUUGUCUAUGUAUCCACACAUGUAUCUGAGUUUCCUUUCAAUACAAUUAUAGCAUGGAUAAUAAGCGAUUAUCAUGAACAAGGAAAUAUAAUAAUAACUAAUUUAUUAUUGCCUCUAGGGCAUAUUUCCAACAGUCUCCCACUUGCACUAGAGUCAAUAAUCUAGUUCACAUUGCCAUGUGAUUAACACUGUCAGGUCACAUCGCCAUGUGACCAACAUCCAAAGAGUUUACUAGUGUCAUUAAACUAGUUCACAUCAUCAUGUGAUUAAGACUCAAUGAGUUCUGGGGUUUGAUCAUGUUUUUCCUUGUAAGAGAGGUUUUAGUCAACGGGUCUGCAACAUUCAGAUUCAUAUGUACUUCGCAAAUCUCUAGGUCAUAUUGUAAAUGUUGCUUCCACGCUUCACUUGGAGCUAUUCCAAAUGGUUGUUCCACUAUACGUAUCCAUUUUGCUACUCAGAGUCACUCGGAUAGGUGUUAAAGCUUGCAUCAACGUAACCCUUUACGCCGAAUUCUUUAUCACCUCCAUAAUCGAGAAACAUAUCCUUAUUCCUCUAAGGAUAACUUUGACCGCUAUCUGAUGAUCCACUCCUUGAUCACCUUUGUACUCUCUUGCCAGACAUGUGGCAAGGCACACAUCAGGUGCGGUACUUAGCAUAGCAUACUGUAGAUCCUACGUCUGAAGCAUAGGGGACGACCUUCGUCCUUUCUCUCUUUUCUGCCGUGGUCGAGCUUUAAGUCUUAACUUCAUACCUUACAACUCAGGCAAGAACUCCUUCUUUGACUGAUCCAUCUUGAACACCUUCAAGAUCAUGUCAAGGUAUGUGCUCAUUUGAAAGUAUUAUUAAGCAUUUUGAUCUAUCAUUAUAGAUCUUGAUGCUCAAUGUUCAAGUAGCUUAAUCCAGGUUUUCUAUUGAAAAACACCUUUCAAAUAACCCUAUAUGCUUUCUAGAAAAUCAUUUCUGAUCAUCAACAUGUCAACAACAUAUACUCAUCAGAAAUUCUAUAGUGCUCCCACUCACUUCUUUGGAAAUACAAGUUUCUCAUAAACUUUGUAUAAACCCAAAAUCUUUGAUCAUCUUAUCAAAGUGCACAUUCCAACUCCGAGAUGCUUACUCCAGUCCAUGGAAGGAUCGCUAGAGCUAGCAUACCUUUUAGCAUCCUUAGGAUCGACAAAAACUUUUUGAUUAUAUUACAUACAACCUUUCCUUACGAAAACUGGUAAGGAAACUCGUCUUGACAUCCAUCUGCCAGAUUUCAUAAAUGCAGCUAAUGCUAACAUGAUUCCGAUGGACUUAAGCAUCGCUACGGAUGAGAAAAUCUCAUCGUAGUCAACUCCUUGAACUUGUGAAAAACUCUUCGCCACAAGUCGAGCUUCAUAGACGGUGACAUUACCGUCCAUGUCCGUCUUCUUCUUAAAGAUCCACUUAUCUCAAUGGCUUGCCGAUCAUCGGGCAAGUCCACCAAAGUCCAUGCUUUGUUUUGAUACAGGGAUCCUAUCUCGGAUUUCAUGGCUUCUAACCAUUUGUCGGAAUUUGGGCCCACCAUCGCUUCUCCAUAGCUCAUAGGUUCAUUGUUGUCUAGCAACAUGACUUUCAAGACAGGGUCACCGUACCACUCCGAAUCAGUACGUGUCCUUGUCGUCCUACGAGGCACGGUAGUGACUUGAUCCAAAACUUCAUGAUCACUAUCAUAAGCUUCCACUUCAAUUGGUGUAGGUGCCACAGGAACAACUUCCUGUGCCCUGAUACACACUGGUUGAAGUGAUGGUUCAAUAACCUCAUCAAGUCUCCACCAUCCUCCCACUCAACUUUUCGAGACGAACUUUUCCUCGAGAAAGGACCCGAUUCAAGAAACAAUCCCUAUUGCUUUCGGAUCUGAAUUAGGAGGUAUACCCAACUGUUUUGGGUGUCCUAUGAAGAUGUAUUUUAUCCGCUUUGGGUUCGAGCUUAUCAAUCCUGAAACUUUUUCACAUAAGCGUCGCAGCCCCAAACCUUUAAGAAAUGACAACUUAGGUUUCUUUAAACCAUAAUUCAUACGGUGUCAUCUCAACGGAAUUAUGUGGUGCCCUAUUUAAAGUGAGUGCGGUUGUCUCUAAUGCCUAACCCAUGAACAAUAGUGGUAAUUCGAUAAGAGACAUCAUGGUACGCACCAUAUCCAAUAGGGUGCAACUAUGAUGUUCGGACACACCAUCAAACUAUGGUGUUCCAGGCGGUAUUAAUUGCGAAACAAUUUCCACAAUGUCUUAAUUGUGUGCCAAAGCUCGUAACUCAGAUACUCAUCUCUAUGAUCUUAUCAUAGACAUUUUAUCCUCUUGUCACGAUGAUCUUCAACUUCACUCUGAAAUUACUUGAACCAUUCAAUAAUUCAGACUUGUGUUUCAUCAAGUAAAUAUAUUCAACAUCUACUCGAAUCAUCUGUGAAGUAAGAACAUAACGAUAUUCACUGCAUGCCUCAGCACUCAUUGGACUACACACAUCAAAAUGUGUUACUUCCAACAAGUUGCUAUCUUGUUCCAUCUUACUAAAACCGAGGCUUUUCAGUCAUCUUGCCCAUGUGGUAUGAUUUGCAUAUCUCAAGUGAUUCAAAAUCAAGUGAGUCCAAACGAUCCAUCUGCAUGGAGUUUCUUCAUGCGUAUACACCAAUAGACAUGGUUCGCAUGUCUCAAACUUUUCAAAAACGAGUGAGUCCAAAGAUCCAUCAACAUGGAGCUUCUUCAUGCAUUUUAUACCAUUAUGACUUACAUGGCAGUGCCACAAGUAAGUGGUACUAUCAUUACUAUCUUAUAUCUUUUGGCAUGAAAAUGUGUAUCACUACGAUCGAGAUUCAAUAAACCAUUCCUUUAGGUGCAAGACCAUUGAAGGUUUUAUUCAAAUGAAUAGAGUAACCAUUAUUCUCCUUAAAUGAAUAACCGUAUUGCGAUAGACAUAAUCCAAUCAUGUCUAUGCUCAACGCAAACACCAAACGACAAUUAUUCAGGUUUAAUACUAAUCUUGAUGGUAGAGGGAGCGUGCGAUGUUUGAUCACAUCAAACUUGGAAACACUUCCAACACAUAUCGUCAGCUCACCUUUAGCUAGUCUCCGUUUAUUCCGUAGCUCUUUUAUUUCGAGUUACUAACACUUAGCAACCGAACCGGUAUCUUAUACCCUGGUGCUACUAGGAGUACUAGUAAAGUACACAUUAACAUAAUGUAUAUCCAAUAUACUUCUAUCGACCUUGCCAGCCUUCUCAUCUACCAAGUAUCUAGGGUAAUUCCGCUCUAGUGACUAUUCCCCUUAUCACAGAAGCACUUAGUCUCUGGUUUGGGUUCAACCUUGGGUUUCUUCACUGGAGCAGCAGCUGAUUUGACGUUUCAUGAAGUAUCCCUUCUUGCCCUUGCCCUUCUUGAAACUAGUGGUUUCACCAACCAUCAACAAUUGAUGCUCCUUCUUAAUUUCUACUUUCGCGGUGUCAAACAUCGUGAAUACCUCAAGGAUCAUCAUAUCUAUCCCUGAUAUGUUAUAGUUCAUCACGAAGCUCUAGCAGCUUGGUGGCAAUGACUUUGGAGAAACAUCACUAUCUCAUCUGGAAGAUCAACUCCCACUCGAUUCAAGUGAUUGUCGCACUCAGACAAUCUGAGCACAAGCUCAACGAUUGAGCUUUUCUCCCUUAGUUUGCAGGCUAAGAAAAUCGUCGGAGAUCUCAUACCUCUUGACGUGGGCACGAGCCUGAAAUCCCAAUUUCAGCCCUUGAAACAUCUCAUAUGUUCCGCGAUGUUUCGGAAACGUCUUUAGUGCCUCAACUCUAAACCGUUUAACUGAACUAUCACGUAGUUAUCAAAACGUGUAUGUCCGAUGUUUGCAACAUCCACAAACGACGUUUGGGGUUCAGCACACUGAGCAGUGCAUUAAGGACAUAAGCUUUCUACUGUCCGCAUAAUUGCUACUAUCAACUUUCAACUAUAUUUUCUCUAGGAACAUAUCUAAAAAGUGGAACUAAAGCGCGAGCUUACGACAUAAUUUGCAAAGAUCUUUUGACUAUGUUCAGGAUAAUUAAGUUCAUCUUAUGAACUCCCACUCAGAUAGACAUCCCUCUGGUCAUUUAAGUGAUUACAUGAUCCGAGUCAACUAGGCCGUGUCCGAUCAUCACGUGAGACGGACUAGUCAUCAUCGGUGAACAUCUUCAUGUUGAUCGUAUCUACUAUACGACUCAUGCUCGACCUUUCGGUCUCCGUGUUCCGAGGCCAUGUCUGUACAUGCUAGGCUCGUCAAGUUAACCCUAAGUGUAUUGCAUGUGUAAAUCUGUCUUACACCCGUUGUAUGUGAACGUAAGGAUCUAUCACACCCGAUCAUCACGUGGUGCUUCGAAACAACGAACUGUAGCAACGGUGCACAGUUAGGGGAGAACACUUCUUGAAAUUGUUGUAAGGGGUCAUCUUAUUUACUACCGUCGUUCUAAGUAAACAAGAUGCAUAAACAUGAUAAACAUCACAUGCAAUCAAAUAGUGACAUGAUAUGGCCAAUAUCAUUUUGCUCCUUUUGAUCUCCAUCUUCGGGGCUCCACGAUCAUCAUCGUCACCGGCAUGACACCAUGAUCUCCAUCAUCAUGAUCUCCAUCAUCGUGUCUUCAUGAAGUUGUCUCGCCAACUAUUACUUCUACUACUAUGGCUACCGGUUAGCAAUAAAGUAAAGUAAUUACAUGGCGUUGUUCAAUGACACGCAGGUCAUACAAUAAAUUUAAGACAACUCCUAUGGCUCCUGCCGGUUGUCAUACUCAUCGACAUGCAAGUCGUGAAUCCUAUUACAAGAACAUGAUCAAUCUCAUACAUCACAUAUAUUCAUCACAUUCUUCUUGGCCAUAUCACAUCACAUAGCAUACCCUGCAAAAACAAGUUAGACGUCCUCUAAUUGUUGUUUGCAUGUUUUACGUGGCUGCUAUGGGUUUCUAGCAAGAACGUUUCUUACCUACGCAAGACCACAACGUGAUAUGUCAAUUGCUAUUUACCCUUCAUAAGGACCCUUUUCAUCGAAUCCAUUCCGACUAAAGUGGGAGAGACUGGCACCCGCUAGCCACCUUAUGCACCAAGUGCAUGUCAGUCGGUGGAACCUGUCUCAUGUAAGAGUACGUGUAAGGUCGGUCCGGGCCACUUCAUCCCACAAUACUGUCGAAACAAGAUUGGACUAGUAACGGUAAGCAUAUUGAACAACAUCAACGCCCACAACUACUUUGUGUUCUACUCGUGCAAAGAAUCUACGCAAUAGACCUAGCUCAUGAUGCCACUGUUGGGGAACGUAGCAAUAAUUCAAAAUUUUCCUACGUGUCACCAAGAUCAAUCUAUGGAGUCAUCUAGCAACGAGGGAGGAGUAGAUCUACGUACCCUUGUAGAUCGCGCACGGAAGCCUUCAAGAGAACGGGGUUGAUGGAAUCGUACUCAUCGUGAUCCAAAUCACCGAUGAUCCUAGCACCGAACGGACGGCACCUCCGUGUUCAACACACGUAUGGAACGGAGACGUCUCCCACGCCUUGAUCCAGCAAGGAGGAGGGAGAGUUUGAUGGGGAUCCAGCAGCACGACGGCGUGGUGGAAGUAGCGGGAUUCCAACAGGGCUUAGCUAAGCGCUGCGGGAGGAGGGAGAUGUGUCACCCGAGGGAGAGGGAGGCGCCAGGCCUUAGGUAUGGUUGCUCCUCCUUUUCCCCACUAUAUAUAGGGCCAAGGGAGAUGGGGUAGGAGCAGCCCUUGCCCCUUCCUCCAAGGAAGGGUGCGGCCAAGGGGGGGAGGAGUCCAUCCUCCUCAAGGCACCUUGGAGGUGCCUUCCCCCUUUAGGACUCUCCCCUUUUUUUCUUUUCUUGGCGCAUGGGCCUCUUGGGGCUGGUGCCCUUGGCCCAUAUAGGCCAAGGUGCACCCCCUACAGCCCAUGUGGCCCCCUGGGGCAGGUGGCCCCACCCGGUGGACCCCCGGGACCCUUCCGGUGGUCCCGGUACAAUACCGGUGACCCCGAAACUUGUCCCGAUGGCUGAAAUAGCACUUCCUAUAUAUAAUUCUUUACCUCCGGACCAUUCCGGAACUCCUCGUGACGUCCGGGAUCUCAUCCGGGACUCCGAACAACUUUCGGGUUACCGCAUACUAAUAUCUCUAUAACCCUAGCGUCACUGAACCUUAAGUGUGUAGACCCUACGGGUUCGGGAGACAUGUAGAGAUGACCGAGAUGACUCUCCGGUCAAUAACCAACAGCGGGAUCUGGAUACCCAUGUUGGCUCCCACAUGUUCCACGAUGAUCUCAUCGGAUGAACCACGAUGUCAAGGACUUAAUCAAUCUUGUAUACAAUUCCCUUUGUCUAACGGUAUUGUACUUGCCCGAGAUUCGAUCGUCGGUAUACCGAUACCUUGUUCAAUCUCGUUACCGGCAAGUCUCUUUACUCGUUCCGUAACACAUCAUCCCGUGAUCAACCCCUUGGUCACAUUGUGCACAUUAUGAUGAUGUCCUACCGAGUGGGCCCAGAGAUACCUCUCCAUUUACAGGGAGUGACAAAUCCCAGUCUCGAUUCGUGCCAACCCAACAGACACUUUCGGAGAUACCUGUAGUGCACCUUUAUAGCCACCCAGUUACGUUGUGACGUUUAGUACACCCAAAGCAUUCCUACGGUAUCCGGGAGUUGCACAAUCUCAUGGUCUAAGGAAAAGAUACUUGACAUUAGAAAAGCUUUAGCAUACGAACUACACGAUCUUUGUGCUAGGCUUAGGAUUGGGUCUUGUCCAUCACAUCAUUCUCCUAAUGAUGUGAUCCCGUUAUCAAUGACAUCCAAUGUCCAUGGUCAGGAAACCGUAACCAUCUAUUGAUCAACGAGCUAGUCAACUAGAGGCUUACUAGGGACAUGGUGUUGUCUAUGUAUCCACACAUGUAUCUGAGUUUCCUUUCAAUACAAUUAUAGCAUGGAUAAUAAACGAUUAUCAUGAACAAGGAAAUAUAAUAAUAACUAAUUUAUUAUUGCCUCUAGGGCAUAUUUCCAAUAGUUGUCUGCCACCAACUCUGAGGUGGAGAGUGCCAUGAACCACAGGCGUCGCCGGACAAUUCUUCGCGAUGCUUGUUUCUCCCAAGAGGCAUUAGAUGCCUUUAAUUCGGGAGAUGCGUACCUCCGUGCCGCUCAAAAUGGUCUAGCCAGAGCCACGGAGCAAUAUGUAAAAGACAUACGGGUAAGAAAAUUUUGGUAAUUAUAUAUAUAUAUAUACCAGUAGCCCCCAAGACUUGAAACAGUUAGAGUAACUGAUUUAAGGAUCAUUUGUUAUGCAGGUUCUUACAGAGAAGAAUAUCAUACUGUCCCAGGAGCUGGAAGAGUGCAAAGCCCAACUGGAGGCCGCACUAGCCGCGGCAGGGGAGCCCAAAGAGACCCCCUCUGGUAAGAUACACUUCGAAAGAUUAGUAUCUUGCGAAGUGCGGCGUGGGUGUAAAUCUGACAAAUCAUAUUGCAGAUGGCGCCGGACUGGAUCUGGAGAGGCAACAACUCUUACGCCGGCUAAAGGCCGGUGAGAGUAUGCUGACAAGUGUGAGGCGGGAGAAGAAUGAUCUUCAGGACGCCAACACCAAGCUGGACGUUGAACUUAAAGAUGUUCGUGGCCAGCUGUCGGACUCCACUAAGGAGAAUCAGCGGCUUCGACGUGGCAUAUUUAGUAAGUGCUUAAGCGAAUCUUUGAAAGAAAAGAGUUCGGCGAGGAAGUUGACUAACAGAGUAAUGUCUGUAGGUAUGCUAACGGGUCGUCCUGCAGAGGAGAUGCCCGGAUAUACGGGUGACGUUCUUCCCGAACUCUCGCAACUGCACGAGCGAGUUCGGCAAGCGAUGCGAGGCGUUGCCCAAGCCUUAUGGCCUUCCCACUCCAUGCCCGAGGGCCUUGGAGAGCUUUCGGAGAAGCUUAAGGGAGCUCGGCGGCGCUUCCGGUUGUGGAAGAUAUCGGCCUGCCGACAAGGCGCUAGGGAGGCCUGGGCCAUGGUGAAGACGCGGUACAUGAAGUCUGACCCAAACCACAUGGCCGAGGUCGGACCUGUGGGGCCUGACGGGAAGGAGAUCCCUGUAAGCUUAGUGUACGGCCAGGUAGAAUUGGCCGCAAAGUAUUCCCAGCAGGACUGUAAGUUAGACAGCCUAUUAGAUGGUAUUGAAGAGGAAUACAAUCAGUCAGAGUGACAAUGUAAUUUUUAAUUGACAUGUGUAAUGCCUUCUAGCCGGAUUGUAGAUUGUUUGUCAUUGCCGACCUUUUCGCUUCAACCUCAGGACCUGACGGUCCGGAGUGUGUCCGAAUACCCUACCGGUUAUGUAAGAACUGGGGUAUGCAUGGAGACCAGGCGUAGGGGUCAUUAGUGCUUUAUCAGACAAGUGCCCAACUAGUUAUGUUAUAUUACAUGGUUAGUAAGAAACAUCUUCCAGAGAUAAUAGUUCCGUUAGGGGUUCCUUUCUCUGGGAGGCAUGCCCUAAAGUGCAUGUCCGGGCUGCAAACGCAGGAAAAUCAUCUGGGGGCAUAUAUAUAAAUAAGUAAAAAAGGUCAUCUUUUAGUUCACCGACCGAAUAUUCCCUUAAGAACUCUAGCUUUCGGCUUCACCCAGUCUGAGGUACACAUCCAGCUGAUCCGGCAGUAACAAUCGCAGAGGUGCUCCCUUUACCACCUAGCCGAACAAUCGGGAACGUAGGGGUAAGCACAGGAGCCAGGCAACCCAGCUUGGCCAAAACUUAAGUCAUAUCGAUGCAUAUAAUGGUGAAGAAAAGGUACAUGCGGAAGUUUGACACAUGUGGUGGGCGUGAAGCCCGAGUAAAUAAGCUUCUGUUAAAGAAGCCCCAGGUUUAGUGAGCGCAAGUAGCACGUCACUUGAGGAGCCUUUAAGGGCUAUAAAAGAAAAGAGGGGAAGGAGAGAAAUGUAAGACAGAAAAUGUAAAAAAUGGACACAGGAAGGAGACAAACACAGAGUCUGGCGCUAGGCAUAGAAUCUUCGGAGACGGGCUGCGUUCCAUGGGUUCGGCUUGAGUUGGUUAUCCGAUGCAUCUCGCAGGCGGUAUGCUCCACCAGUCAGGACUUGGUCGAUUAUGAAGGGACCUUCCCACUUGGGCUUCAGCUUGUCCUUUUUCUUGUCCGGCAGGCGUAGAACUAAUUCGCCAACGUUGUAGUUUUUGUCCCGCACUUCUCUGCUUUGAUAUCUUCGAGCCUGCAGUUGAUAGAAUGCGGAACGGGCUUUCGCCACGUCGCGCUCCUCCUCUAAGGCGUCCAAACUGUCCUGCCGAUCGAGCUCGGCUUCCCUUUCUUCGUACAUGCGCACUCGAGGUGAGUCAUGAAUUAUGUCACAGGGCAAGACUGCCUCUGCGCCGUACACCAUAAAAAAUGGUGUGUAUCCGGUGGUGCGAUUCGGCAUGGUCCGCAGCCCCCAGAGUACGGAGUCGAGCUCCUCUACCCAGUGCGUGUUAGAUUCCUUGAGGGACCGCACUAAUCUGGGUUUGAUGCCGCUCAUGAUGAGACCAUUUGCAUGUUCCACCUGACCGUUAGUUUGUGGGUUAUAGACGGAAGCAUAAUCGAGCUUGAUGCCCAUGUUUUUGCACCAGAGUUUUACCUCAUCGGCCGUAAAGUUCAUGCCGUUAUCGGUGAUGAUGCUGUGGGGGGCGCCAUAAUGGUGUACGACCCCGGAUAUAAAGUCUAUCACAGGUCCGGAUUCGGCCGUCUUAACAGGCUUGGCUUCUAUCCAUUUGGUGAACUUAUCCACCAUGACCAGUAAGUAUUUUUUAUUGUGGGUUCCGCCUUUAAGGGGUCCCACCAUGUCAAGCCCCCAGACCACGAAAGGCCAAGUGAUGGGGAUAGUUUGGAGGGCGGUGGGUGGCAUAUGGCUUUGGUUUGCAAAAAGCUGGCAACCGACGCAUUUUUGGACCAAGUCCUGAGUGUCCGCCCGGGCCGUUGGCCAAUAAAAGCCUGUACGGAAAGCCUUGCUUACAAGGGACCGGGCUGCGGCGUGAUGGCCACCGAGUCCGGCAUGAAUUUCAGCCAGCAAGUUCCGCCCUUCCUCUUCGGAGAUACACCUUUGAAGGACUCCGGUAGUGCUUUUCUUAUAAAGUUCUCCCUCAUGGACUUUAUAGGCUUUAGAUCACCGCAUUAUACAGCGUGCCUCGUUUUGGUCCUCUAGGAGUUCCUGCCUAGUAAGGUAGGCUAGGAAUUGUUCUAUCCACAGGGCGAUAACGGCCAUUAAUACGUGGGCUGAGGUUGUGAUUUCAUUGGCAGAGCCUCCGAUUAUGUCAGAUUGUUCGGCAUCGGACAGUGCGGUUGGGUCCGGGCUAAUAUUGCCAUGUUCCCCUUCCCAUACUACGGAUGGCUUGAACAGCCUUUCCAGGAAGAUGUUGGGGGGGGACGGCAUCGCGUUUUGCGCCGAUGCGUGCCAGGACGUCUGCCGCCUGAUUGUUUUCUCGGGCUAUAUGGUGAAAUUCGAGCCCUCAAACCGAGCUGACAUUUUGAGGACGGCGUUGCAGUAAGCUGCCAUUUUUUGAUCCUUGGCAUCGAAAUCUCCAUUUAUUUGGGAUAUCGCGAGGUUCGAAUCCCCACGCACCUCUAGGCGUUGAAUGCCCAUGGAUACUGCCAUCCGGAGACCAUGUAAAAGGGCCUCAUAUUCGACUGCAUUGUUGGAGUCCGUGUACAUAAUUUGGAGUACAUAUUGAACUGUGUCUCCUGUGGGGGACGUCAAAACGACGCCGGCCCCUAGUCCGGCCAACAUUUUGGAACCGUCGAAGUGCAUGAUCCAGUUUGAAUAUGUGUCGUACUCUUUAGGGAGUUCGGCCUCCGUCCAUUCUGCGACGAAGUCGGCCAAAACUUGCGACUUGAUAGCUCACCGUGGCCUAUAAGUUCAGGUCGCCAAGUCAGCACAGUACUAUGGUACUAUGGUCGCCAAGUCAGCGAAGCGUGUAAGAUCACGACGACCUAUGGCAUUGAGGAUUCCCUUGUCCGUGCAAUUAUUGUAGAAGAUUGAGAUUGCGUCUUCCUUGCGGCAGUCCUUUAUCCUGUUCAUGACCAUCAGGAACCUUGCCCGGUAAUGAUGUACUAUUUCUUCGGGCUUUUGCCUGAUUUGGGAUAGAUCACUUAUGUUCGGGUGGGUGGGUGGAAUUAAAUCCGGAACUUCACCCAAUCUCAGACUCAGAGGCCAAGGAGUUUCCGAACUCUGAAGUUUGGAUUCUUGGAUGUUGUCCAGUGAAUCUAGCCCGUUGCCUGAUUCUAAGUUCAGGUCUUGAGUUACAUCCUCCCCUCCGCGGGUAUCUGGCUUGGAGGGAUCGGGAAUCCGGACGUAGCUAGUCCUUAAGAUAGAUGAAGAUUCGCCGCAUUGUGCCUCUACCACGGCAACGUGAUGGGUGACUUGGGGAGAAUUAAUUUCUCUUAGAUCGGGUAUAAGCCCAACCUGGUCAUAAUCCGUAGUGACCCCCAAGGCGGCGAUGCGAUCCAAGAGCUCGUUUACAGAAGAGAGCUCCAUUGGAUCUAACUGCUCGACGAGUUCCGAGCUGGCGUGAAGAUUGCUUUUGAUGACCCGAGAGGUCACCGUCGGCGCAACGGCCGAACGGGCGGUCAUGAGAAAACCGCCUAGCCGGAGAGUUUGGCCGACAGCCAAGGCUCCCUUAGUAACGGCGCCGUUUUUAAAGACGGGAAGAGGCAUCCUUCCUGAUUGCGACGGCACAGAGGAACUCUCAAUGAAAGCACCAAUGUCGGUGUCAAAACCGGCGGAUCUCGGGUAGGGGGUCACGAACUAUGCGUCUAGGCCGGAUGGUAACAGGAGGCAAGGAACACGAUGUUUUACCCAGGUUUGGGCCCUCUUGAUGGAGGUAAAACCCUACGUCCUGCUUGAUUAAUAUUGAUGAUAUGGGUAGUAUAAGAGUAGAUCUACCACGAGAUCAAGGAGGCUAAACCCUAGAAGCUAGCCUAUGGUAUGAUUGUUGUAUGAUGAAGUUGUCCUACGGACUAAAACCCUCCGGUUUAUAUAGACACCGGAGAGGGUUAGGGUUACACAAAGUUGGUUACAAUAGUAGGAGAUCUUGAAUAUCCGCAUCUCCAAGCUUGCCUUCCACGCCAAGGAAAGUCCCAUCCGGACACGGGACGAAGUCUUCAAUCUUGUAUCUUCAUAGUCCUGGAGUCCGGCUGAAGGUAUAGUCCGGCUACCCGGACACCCCCUAAUACAGGACUCCCUCAAGUGCGCUCCCCAAAAACCUGAUCUCCCCUCUCCCGUAUAGGAUUACGAGAGGCGGGGUUCCGGAGGCCUGUUGUCCCUUCUCCCGGUGCACGCCGAAAGGAGGGAUGGAGAAGACUUUCUUGGCGGUGCAAUGAUCUGGAACGGUGGUGAGAAACCAUACGAAACGGCGGCGGCUAGGGUAGAUGUCUGCCUGACUAUAUAUAGUGUGGGUCAGGCAAGUCGUGGGAGUAAACCCCACGUUCGAGUCGUCACGAUCCAAAAGAAUUGGAAAUGGUUCAGUAAUUAACGCGCCCGUUAAUUAUUUAUUAAUGAAUCGUUAAUUUUUUCCAAGCAGCAAAAAUAUAGACAACGUGCAUAGCUCUGUCCUUGGCUCGGCUCAAUCCCGUAACCCGCGGCGCGUCGUGACGAGGCGUGGCGUGGCGUGGCGAGGCGAGUGAGGAGGAGGAGCACGCGUGUAGGUCUCCUCUUCUCAUGCUCAUACAAGUGGUAGAAGAGCUCACCUUAUAAAGAGGUGCAACUCUCUCUCAACUUAUGAGGUGGGACUAAACUUUAGCCUCACUCACUCCACUCACAUGUGUGCAUGAAUGGGCCAAGAGAAUUUUAGUUGGGCUUUGGGCCAAAGGCCUACUAGCAAAAUUCCAAGAAUCCCCCACAAAGUCUCAUUGGCACAUCUCAUCAUUUAGUUCCAAAACAUUGUUAUAUACCGGUUCUUAAUGGAGAAUGUGAAGUUGAACUUCCACUUAGAGAUUUAUGCUACACUAGAUCACAACUUGAAUAGUGGACUAUGCCUUGAACUACAAGUUUUCUGUGAGACUAGUUUCACGCAAAUUCUUGACCGAUAUUGGGCUGCCGCAAGGCUUCCCUGCGGGUGGAGCGUAUACGUCGUACUCCAGGGCCUUUUCAUGAAUUUAUUAGAGAACACCCAAUUCUCACAGACUGCGACAUUAACAGUCAAAUUCAUAUAGGUGUGUUCCUUAGAAGAUGUUCUGCAGGACACCAUCUCUGCUUACCCGAAUAAGCCACUUGAAACACAUUAAGAUAAGUAUCAACCUGCCAUGCAGAUCAGGAGAGUAUUGCAUCUUCACGGAGUGGGAUAGUUAAUAUAGGGAUACUCUCCUCCCAGCUGACCAACAGCUUGUCUCCCACUUCUACUUCACGGGAUCUCCGAUCACAUAGAGUGGGUUACCACUAUGGACAACUCAUGCGGUGGGUCUCAAACCAAUCUCCAUCGAUGCAUUAUCUAUCACAUUACGUGAUAGACCCUUUGUGAAGGGAUCUGUCAAGUUUUUCGACAUUUGGAUAUAAUCCAACGUAAUAACUCCGGAGUUCCUCAAUUUUCUGAUAGAUUUUAGUCUCCUCUUCACAUGUCUUGAGGACUUCAUAUUGCCCUUCGAACUGUUUAUCUUGACGAUCACAGUUUGAUUAUCACAGUUCAUCAGGAUAGGGGGUAUUGGUUUUUCAACCAUAGGUAAGUCCAUCAAGAGUUCACGAAGCCACUCUGCUUCAACAGUGGGAGUGUCUAAUGUUGUGAGUUCUGCUUCCAUAGUUGACCUCGUUAAGAUGGUCUGCUUGCAAGACUUCCAGGAAAUAGCGCCACCACCAAGUGUAAAAACAUAACCACUUGUGACCUUAAUCUCAUCAGCAUCAGAUAUCUAGUUUGAGUCACUAUAACCCUCCAGUACCCUUGGAUACCCGGUGUAGUGAAUCCCAUAGCUCGCGGUGCCUUUCAAAUAGCGCAUAACUCUCUCAAGCGCAUGCCAAUGAUCAUCUCCCGGUUUUGACACAAACCAACUCAGCUUGCUCACAGCAAAAGAGAUGUCAGGCCUCGUGGCAUUCGCCAAAUACAUAAGCGAGCCAAUAAUCUGAGAAUACCUCAGUUGAUCUCUAGCAAUCCGUCGGGUUCUUUCGAAGCAACACACUAGCAUCAUAUGGAGUUGGAGAAGGCGUGCAGUCGCUAUACCCAAAACGACUCAAGACCUUUUCCACAUAGUGAGACUGAAGCAGUGUGAUCCCACCAUUCUCAUCUCUCAAGAGCUUGAUGUUUAAGAUAACAUCAACUACUCCUAGAUCCUUCAUCUCAAAACAGCGAGAUAAGAAAUCCUUAACCUCCUUGAUUAAAUCAAGUUUGGUUCCAACCAUAGCGAUGGUAAACACUUGUCGCCAUCGUUUACUACAAAGCCGGCAGCAGUUAAUGUUCUUUCGAACUUCUCAUGCCACUCCUUAGGAGCUUUUUUAAGGCCAUAUAAAGACUUCAAUAACUUGCACACCUUUCCUUCCUGACCAGGUACUACAAAACCAUCUGGCUGAUCCAUGUAAAUUUCCUCCUUCAACUCUCCAUUGAGGAAAGUUGUCUUAACAUCCAUUUGAUGAACGAGAAGACCAUGUGAGGCAACCAGUGAUAGUAGCACCCGAACUGUGGUCAGUCUAGCCACGAGUGAGUAAGUAUCAAAGAAGUCUUCACCUUCUUUCUGGGUAUAACCCUUGGCCACAAGUCGUGCCUCGUACUUUUCAAUCAUACCAUCAGGUCUAAGCUUCUUCUUGAACACCCACUUACAUCCUACAAGUUUGCACCCAUACAAAUAGUAAGUGAUCUCCCAGGUACCGUUAGAUAAGAUGGAAUCCAUGUCGCUACGAACAACUUCCUUCCAGUAGUCAGCAUCAGGAGAUGCAUAUGCUUCUGAAAUAGUCCUGGGUGUGUCAUCCACAAGGUACACAAUGAAAUCAUCACCAAAAGACUUUGCAGUCCUCUGUCUCUUUCUCCUCACAGGAGUUCCAUUGUCACCCUCAACGGGAUUCUCAACGUGUUCCAUCACGAUGGUGGGUUCAGGAAUUACAUCGAAUUCCUCACUAGAUGGAGUAGGUAUCUCCUGAUUUGAUGAACUCGACAUAUCCUUCAUAGGAAAUAUGUCCUCAAAGAAAGUUGCAUCAUUCGACUCCAUAAUCGUACCAACAUGCAUGUCAGAUACCUCUGAUUUUAUUUUCAAAAAUCUAUAGCCAAUGCUACGAAAAGCAUAGCCCAGAAGAACAUAAUCCACGGUUUUUGGUCCAAACUUGCGCUUCUUGGGAAUUGGUAUAUUGACUUUCUCCAAACAACCCCAAGUAUGUAGGUAAGAGAGUUUCGAUCUUUUCCUUUCCAUUCCUCAAAUGGAGUCAUGGUCUUAUGCUUUGUGGGAACUUGGUUUAGGACAUGACAUGCAGUCAUUAGCGCCUCCCCCCACCAUUCCUUGGAGAGACCCGAUGUGUCUAACAUGGUGUUAACCAUAUCAGUUAGAGUUUGGUUCUUUCUUUCGGCUACCCCAUUUGACUGAGGUGAGUAGGGAGGCGGCAUAUCAUGGAUUAUACCAUGUUCCGCCCAAAACAGAUCAAAUUCAUUGGAAAAAUACUCUCCACCACGAUCGGACCUAAGACGUUUAAUUUUCCGAUCAAGUUGGUUCUCUACCUCAGCUUUAUAGUUUUUGAAGAAAUUUAAAGCCUCAUCUUUUGAUUUUAGAAGAUACACAUAACAAUAUCUAGUGGAGUCAUCAAUCAACGUCAUGAAGUAUCUCUUUCCACCUUUUGUCAACACGCCAUUCAUCACAAGGAUCAGAAUGUAUAAGCUCUAGUGGCGCCAAGUCUCUUGCCUCUACAGUCUUAUGGGACUUGCGAGGUUGCUUAGCUUGCACACAUACUUGGCACUUAAAGCCUUUGACAGUACAGAUUUUCGAAAUUAAAUUCAUAUUGGCUAGCCGCAUCAUGCAACCAAAGUUAAUGUGACAAAGUCAUGAAUGCCAAAUAUUAGACUCAUUGUUGUGGCAAACAUUAUUAAUAACUUUAGUGCAAAUAUCUGACAAAGACAGGCGGAACAAGCCUCUGCUCUCAUAGCCUUUUACAAAAAAUUGUCCAUACUUAGAAAUUACAACUUUAUUGGAUUCGAAAACCAACUUAAAACCAUCUCGACAUAAACGGGAACCGCUAACGGGAUUUUUAUUUAUGGACGGCACAUGAUGAACGUUCUUUAGAUGCACAAUCUUCCCCGAAGUAAAUUUCAGAUCGACCGUACCAACACCUCGAACGAUGGCAUGUGACCCGUUCCCCAUCAGCACGGGUGAAGUCCAUGUUGCCUAGUAAGAAGAAAACAUGGAGGCAUCAGCACAAACAUGUACAUUGGCACCGGUGUCAAUUAACCAAUCAGAGAAUUGAAAUACUGAAAGGAUGUAGGAAAAAUACCGUACCCUAAUUCAUUCAUAUCAAUAUCACCGAUGACAACAUUAGUGGACUUGCCGCUCUUCUCAUGUUCACGCUCCUCAAAGCGGUUAGGACACUUCGAAGCCCAGUGAUUAGGAUCAUCGCAGACAUGGCAAAGUCCCUUCCCCUUCUUAUGAGAAUUCUUCUUGAAGUUGGUAGAAUGUGAUGGCUUGUUCUUUGUAUCAAACUUGCCUUUGCCCUGAGUUUCGUUCUUGUUGUUUUUGAACUUGUUGGGCUGGGAGUUCUUCUUCUGUACCAUGUGAGCACUAGAAGCUCCCUUAGCAACUCGAGCACGUGUGUCCUUUGCUCUCGCCUUCUCUUCGACAUCAAGAGUACCAAUGAGAUCCGCAAUGGAAAACUCCUAUCUCUUGUGUUUCAGGGAAGUAGCGAAAUUGUUCCACGAAGGUGCAAGUUUUGCAAUGAUGCCUCCGGCAACAAAUUUGUCCGGCAACACACACUUGAAGUACUCAAGUUCUUUUGCGAGCGACUGUAUCUCAUGAGCCUGUUGUACAACAUAGCGCUCAUCAGUCAUCUUGUAGUCAUAGAAUUGCUCCAUGACGUCCAACUCGCUGCCGGCGUCCGAGGCACCAAAUUUGGCCUCGAGCGCAGCCCACAUGUCCUUGCCGUUUUCAAACGACAUAUACGAAUCCACAAUGGAAUCAUCCAGAACACUCAGAAGAGCGCCUUUAAAGAGAGUAUCGACCUUCUCAAAAGCUUCCAGUUGUGCUGGAUUAUGAUUGCCCUCAGGCUUGCCCUUGGUGGCGUCAUAGCAGCCCAUGGUCUGAAACCAGACUGCUCUCAUGCGCCACCUCUUAUAUUGCACCCCCUUAAAGGCAGGCGGCUUCAGAUGCGCAGCGAAACCACUCGGAGUAAAUUGCCUAUAAUCAGGUUUUUGGAUUGUUGGAAAUAUGAGCAAAUUACUACGAGAUUUAAUCCGAAUAAAUAGAAGAUAAAUCAUGACUACAGUAGCAGAGAUUAAACUAAUCAUGUGAACUAGCAUAGCAGAUGAACAGAUCACAUCUAGGGCACAUACUAGAAACAUGAAUUCUACCACGAUCUCGAACAGGAAGGAUAGAAUCACAUACGGUGCAGCGGGAGCAGCACCGUCGGCGUUGACGUUGUCGUCCAUGUCGUCGAGGAUGAGGUUGCCGAGGUCGGGGAAGAAGUCGUCGUUCGUGAAGUCGUCGCUGCCAGCAGUCGCGCGAGUGCGCUCCCCAAAAACCUGAUCGCCCCUCUCCCAUACAGGAUUACGGGAGGCGGGGUUCCGGAGGCCUGCUGUCCCUUCUCCCGGUUCACGCCGAAAGGAGGAAUGGAGAAGACUUGCUUGGCGGCACAAUGAUCUGGAACGGUGGUGAGAAACCAUACGAAACGGCGGCGGCUAGGGUAGACCGUCUGCCUGACUAUAUAUAGUGCGGGCCGGGCAGGUCGUGGGAGUAAACCCCAUGUCCGAGUCGUCACGAUCCAAAAGAAUUGGAAACGGUUCAGUAAUUAACGCGCCCGUUAAUUAUUAAUUAAUGACUCAUUAUUUUUUCCCGAGCAGCAAAAAUAUAGACAAUGUGCAUAGCUCUAUCCUCGGCUCGGCUCAAUCCCGCAACCCGCGGCGCGUCGUGACGAGGCAAGCGAGGAGGAGGAGCGCGCGUGUAGGUCUCCUCUUCUCAUGCUCAUACAAGUGGUAAAAGAGAUCACCUUAUAAAGAGGUGCAACUCUCUCUCAACUUAUGAGGUGGGACUAAACUUUAGCCUCACUCACUCCACUCACAUGUGUGCAUGAAUGGGCCAAGAGAAUUUUAGAAUUUUAGUUGGGCUUUGGGCCAAAGACCUACUAGCAAAAUUCCAAUAAGAUGGAAACUCACCGGUCCACAAUGCAAUCUGGUCCUCCAGCCAACGGAUCCAGACCUGAUUGCAGUUCCUUAAUCGCUGCAUGCAACCGGCGCUUCCACACGCGGCGGCGGCAGCACCAGAGGGACCAGAUCUGGCUGCUCCAAGCUGUGCGCAAAAUCCUCCCGGAAUGGGAACCUUGAAAACCACAACAGAGUAAGCAGUAGCAGCAUGCAAUCAGGGUAUCCAUCGAAGCACGAAAACCCAUAGGCGAGCAUGCGGUAUAGAAACUCACCGGUCACCCCAUCGGCAUCCAUCGCCGCUCCGCUGCAAGAAGUCGCUUCCGCCGUGCCCGCCGUUACCUCGAGGUCCCUCCCCACCAUGGCCAGGUCUCACUGCUCGUCAAACCACCCUUCCCGAUCCCUCGACAUGUUUCCCACAGCGGACCCCAUAAGAAGGCGUGCUGUAUAAUCACGGCUCAGUUUGGCCCCUCACGUCCUGGACUAGCAUCGUAUAAUUUCUGAGCCACGGCUCAUGACACCCACAAUCACGGAUCGACGCCCCUAGCUACACAACUGGCCCACCCGUGUACACUGUGUCAUACAGUAUAUAGCCCAUAUCCUUAUUUUCCCACGGUUCACUUAUGUCGCAUCUGACACACUUUUCACCAUCCCAAUGCACCAGCCAAAGGCUCAGAUUUCAGGUGCAGCUGAGCCCAAGCACCAAAUCGACUUAUCCCAGAUAUGUUCAACAUUUCUUUUCCGGUGCAGGAAUGAUAUUAUUGCCUGAGUCCUCGAAACAUGUUAUUUAGUUUCUUUAACUAAUAUAAAGAUGCAAAUUGUACAUGAAUUGUGCUGCUCUUGCUUUCAUGAUAAUGUGCUUCAACACUUAUUAUUGUUCCCAAAUACUGAUUUCCUGUCAUCUUUUGUAGAAUGUCCAAGAGACGAAUGAUAUGGGCACAGAAAGUGCAGCUGCUCUCAAAGCACAUGCAAGAUGUUACAGUAGUAUUCCCUAUGUUUAUUUGUAUAUUGUGCCCAUGAAAUUUGGGGUCGUUUCUAAUGUUUGACCAAAUAGACAAUCAAACAAUAUAAAUGUUUGGUGAAAUAUGACCCACAUUAAAUUGAAUAGAAGCCUUCUGAUGUGAAAUUCAAAUCCAAGCUAGACUAAGACUUGCCAAGACUGUGUGUGAGAGCUAAUGAUCAUUCUGUUAAGACUUUCUAUUGCUUGCACCAUUUAUAUCUCUAUAGAUAGCAUAGCCAAGGCCAUCAAUGGACUUCAAAGUCCCUAUUUCUUGUACAAUUCCUGUUUUUGUAAACAAAGCGGCUAAAUCCACUGAUAUAAAAUAACUCGUUUCCACGAGGCUGUGAAAGUGUGCUCAUGUGGCUGUGAAAGUGGGCUCAUAUUGUAAAAUACACAGGCUGAAAAAAGGGAUGCAGCCUUGGACCUGGUAUAUAUUAUUGUAUCGAACAAUUUUCAAAGUGUUCACAGUUUAAAAUGGGACUGAUCAUCAAAAACAAAAUUUAAAAUGAGACUCCACGUCUAAGUGGUUGCUAAAACCUAUUUUUAUCGAGAAAGACAAACCUUUUCAAAACACUCAUUAAACCUAUUUUUAUCGAGAAAGACAAACCUUUUCAAAACACUCAUUGUACAGAUUUUGAAAGACAACUCUAUCUUAAUUUUUCAUACCAUGGCAUGUUUUUUUGUUUUAAAUUAGACUCUAUACUAUUAAGUUACACUACUAAGGAAAACCUUAUACACAAAAUCUUAGCAGCAGCGUGGUUUAAAAACAAACGCUACUGCUAAUUAGCAGUAGCGAGCUCCUGGAAACCGCGCUACUAACAUUUCGGUAGCAGUAGCACCCUAGGUGAAACAAAUGCUACUACUAUAAUUGCCACGGCAUUGCCUCCAGGCUAGAUAUAGUAGUAGCGCCCUUCUCCUGGACGCGCUACUGUUAAAGUACUUAGUAGCAGUGUUUUCCUUCAAAACUCGUUGUUGCUAAGUAUCACCGCAACUAAUUAAGUUUAGUCCCAUACUGCUAAGCGAACAAGAUGUUUACCACCUUAAAUAUGUUACUUCUCAAACUAUCUCGAGCACUUGGUCUUCAUUGAACUAUAUGUGUAGGAUUUGUGGCUGCGAUAUGAAUCUUCACCAGUACCUAUACAGGUACUGUGAGGAUUCAUGUUGACUAUUUAGAUUCUACACAAAAAGAUCAAUGAUGACCAAUGUAUAUUUUUGAUGUUAUUACAUGCUUAGACUUAUAGCAUUUUUCCAGGACAAAGCGCUACUGAUAUUGGGAUGAACAAAAGAAAUAAUUGCUUCCUUUAACAAUACCAUUUUUCUCUAAAACGCGCUAUAGAUAAAUUAGCUAUAGCGUGUUUCCUUAAGAGCGCUACUGCUAGUUCGACUUUACCAUCCGUGCGGCCUCAAAAUUUUGCUAAAUCCCCCCUCCCCUGUUCCCCUACUCCUCUGUCGCCGCCGCCCGAGCCCGAUCCUACCCUCACCACCGCCGCCCGAGGCCGCCCUCAACCUCACCGCCGCCGCUCUCGACCUCACCGCCGCCGCCUGAGCCCGCCCAGGACCGCCGCCUCCCGAUCCCGAUCCCGAGCCCGCCCUCGCCGCCCCUACCUCCAUCGUCGAGCACCUCCCUGCCACCGUCUCUCCCCNNNNNNNNNNNNNNNNNNNNNNNNNNNNNNNNNNNNNNNNNNNNNNNNNNNNNNNNNNNNNNNNNNNNNNNNNNNNNNNNNNNNNNNNNNNNNNNNNNNNNNNNNNNNNNNNNNNNNNNNNNNNNNNNNNNNNNNNNNNNNNNNNNNNNNNNNNNNNNNNNNNNNNNNNNNNNNNNNNNNNNNNNNNNNNNNNNNNNNNNNNNNNNNNNNNNNNNNNNNNNNNNNNNNNNNNNNNNNNNNNNNNNNNNNNNNNNNNNNNNNNNNNNNNNNNNNNNNNNNNNNNNNNNNNNNNNNNNNNNNNNNNNNNNNNNNNNNNNNNNNNNNNNNNNNNNNNNNNNNNNNNNNNNNNNNNNNNNNNNNNNNNNNNNNNNNNNNNNNNNNNNNNNNNNNNNNNNNNNNNNNNNNNNNNNNNNNNNNNNNNNNNNNNNNNNNNNNUAGUAGUAGUAGAUGUUAAUUUAGGGUUCAUAGAUAAUGAUUUUUAAUAGUAGUAGAUGUUAAUUAUCAGUAGUGAUGGUACUAGUUAACUAGGGCAGUAUGGUUAAUAGUAGAUGUUUUUUUACUAUUGUAUAAUGUAGUUUUUUAUUGUUUUUAGUAAGUGUUUAAAAUAAUUAGUAAGUAAAUUAAUAAACUAGUUGAACUAGUUUAGUUUUAAUUGAACUAGUUUAAUAAGUAAAUUAAUAAACUAGUUGAAUUAAUAGAACUAAUGUAUUUUAAGUAAGAAAAUUAAUAUAACUAGUUGAACUACUUUUUUUUAGAAAGAACUAGUUUUUUUCUAUUUAUAGUAAGUUUAUAUUUAGUAAGAACUACUUAAAUUAAUAGAACUAGUUGAACAUGUCAUAUUUGUUGUUAUUUUUUAUUUUAAGCAAUUAUUCUGGAUGUAUUAGUGAUAACUUAUAGGGUUUUGUUUUUACAGAAAUCAAGGAGCCCCUCCAUCAUCCCCGCCGUCGUCCCCGUCACCGAUCCCCUCCGACCUCGAGGUGAGACCAGCCAAAUCUUCAUGUCAAUAUGAGUCCUAUAAGAUAUGAUGUAGACAAAAAUAUGUGUAUAUCUUGUGUUGCUCAAAUAGGAUAUGUGGUUGCCCAAGUGGCCGGUCAUGUUCAGGUUACACCUCCGAGUGGCGCCCUAUGUUUUGCCGGAGUGUUGAUUAAUUUCUGUUCCGGCAAAUUUCAGGCGCUUGAUAUGUCCUUUUUUAGCAAAGGUCAUGCCGGAUUUUUCCAUGAAUUCUGGUAUGACUUGUGCUAGAAUAUGUAGGAAAUAUCGAGUGGCCUGGAUUUUCUCGAAAAAUAAUUAAACGACAUUUCGACAGACCGAUAGUCAACCCGUGAUGAAUAAUAAUGAUCUAAUUUAGGUUUUUUAGUACAUACAUUUAAUUGUACAAGUUUAAUCUUUGAAUUACGAACGUAGGAAAUGUCGUACUCGGAUGACGAAAGUCUCCCAGGAGAGUGCGACUGGUGCCACGACGGCCGAGGUAUGUGCGACAGGUUCCUUGACCUAGACGAAGAUCGACGCUUCAGCAUUAAGCUCGAGGAGAACUUUGAUGUUGAAACGGUACGCAACAACGACAAGUGUUUUUUUGUAAUUAAGCACGACUUUAACUAUUUCAACGUGUACUUUUCAUCUUUGGCAAUUCGACUAGCUUAUCCCAUGCUAUGCAAGACGAUAUGUCUUGGAGAGGAUGGGUUUUGAAGACUAUGAAAGUUUCGAAACAAAGAAAAUACACCUAAGGACCCAUCAUGAUAUGGAUUUUGAAGUAAAUCUAUACAAUUCUCAGAGCGUAACCCAUUUUAGUUGCCAAAAUCGGUAAGCACUUUGCAAGAUGUAUGGUUUUUAUGAGGGUAUGCUUGUCACCAUGGAUCUUGGUGAUCCUGACAUCGAGCAAAACAAUAUGGACAUUUGGGUCCUUGUUGAUACGCUUCCGAUUCUACCGCUAUGUGAGUUUCUCAAACAUAGUUAUUAACUAAUUUAUAUUGUUUAUUUCAAAAUAGUUGAUAGCUUGUUUUCAUUCUUCAAAGAAUGUGCGUGAAAGAACCACGAAUUAUGAUGUAAUAACUCAUAAUGAUGUAAAAACUAGUCCACGGUUCUUUCACCCAGUGAUGUAAUAACUCAUUAUGAUGUAAAAACAAUCUCUAAACUGCUGAUGUAUGAAAACGUGUAUAGAGGUGUAUGAAUACAACAUGAAAUAAAAAAGAAAUAAAAUACGGAAUAAUAGUAGUAGCACGGGCUGGGAGAAGCGCUACUAGUAAUUACCAGUAGGGAUGUUUGGAGAAAGCGCUACUACUAAGUCGGUAUAGCAGUAGCGUGGGUUAACCCUCGCUACUGGUAACCUUUAGCUGUAGCGUCGUACCAGUAGCGCCCCUACCCGCGCUACUGAUAGGCCUAAAACUCACGUUGCUGCUAGGCUUUUCCCUAGUAGUGUUAAGCCAUGUAUAUUCAUAUCAUUAUACACACCAUUCCACCAUGUUUCCUAUUAGAUGGGAUUAAACCAUGGAGUUGUUUUCAUCACCGACAUGGUUUUAGCGUGCCUUUGCGCCAUUUGGCGCAACAGGUCCACUAGUACAACAAAUAGUCAACAAUACGACAAACAUACAACAUCAAACUAGUUUUGUCGCUCAUUCCAUGACCACCACUCCUUGAUUAGAUCAUUUUGAAGGUCAUCAUGCGUUUCGGCACGUAGAAUGGCAUGAUAUGAGGAAACAAAGUGGGCCACCUUCACAGCCCUCCUUUGCAGUCGCACGGGAUGUCCCAUUAACUCAUACCGAGGAUAGUCUAAAUUUUGUCCAUGCUCAUUCUCGAUGAUCAUGUUAUGCAUGAUCACACAACCGUUCAUGAUGUACCAAAGGAUCUUUUGAUCCCAAAAUCUAGUCGGUCCUCUCACAAUAGAAAAUUGGGCUUGCAAAAUUCCAAAAGCUCUCUCCACAUCUUUCCUAACCGCCGCCUGAGCAUUGUGGAAAUAAAGAUUUUUCUUACCUUGUGGUGCCGUCAACGGCUUCACAAAUGUUUGCCACCUUGGGUAGAUGCCAUUCGCAAGAUAGUAGCCAUAGUGGUAUGUAUGGUCAUUUGCUACAAACUCCACCAGUAGAGUUUCACCAGUUGUAAUCCUAUUCAUGAGUGGUGACCAUUGAAGAACAUUGAUGUCAUUGCAAGAUCCAUUCCGAAAAAAGCACGACAAAUCCAAGUCUCAUGAUCGGCCACCGCUUUAAGGAUUAUAGUGGAACCCUUUUUCUGGUCGUGGAAUUGUCCAUGCCAUGCCUUAGGACAGUUCUUCCAACUCCAAUGCAUGCAAUCUAUUGGGCCAAGCAUACCAGAGAACCCCGCGAGCUUUGUUCAUCUCUGAAAGCCUUGCGGUGUCUUCGUCAUUGCGAGCUCUCAAAUUUCCGGACCAAACACUUGCACAAUUCCUACUGCGAAGUGCUUGACACAUAUGAUGGCUUGACUCUCACCCAUGGCCAAGUGGUCAUCAACUAGAUUCGCCGAAAUACCGUAUGCCAACAUACGCAAAGCGGCAGUCACCUUUUGAAAGGUGCUAUGCCUGAGUUCUCCGGCCGCAUUCCUCCUUUGCUGAAAAAAACCGAUCAUGGCUCGCCAACUUAUCCGCAAUGUGUUUGAACAACUCGAUGCUCAUCCUAAAAUGGCGCCGAAAGUAGGACUCGGGGUACGUGGGAUUCUCCACAAAAUAGUUCCUCGUCAAUCUGUUGUGGGCAUCGAUCCUUUCCCUCCACAUUUCUGACGACCGAAAACCGAACCACCGUGCUUCAGCUUUUUAUUGACGUGCAUAGCUAGGAUCAUUGCGGCGUCCUUCUCCUCUUAAAGAUCAAAUUCUUCAUUGAAAGAAUCGUAGGACAAACUCAUCUACAAACUUGAAUUUAAACUAAUUUGAAACUACAAACAACAUGCACCAAAUUCAUCUACAAAUAUAAAGUUAGAAUCAAUAUAUACCUUGCAAGUGUCUUGGCAAACACCUUUUCCGCCGGGCGCUAUUCGCCUGAGGAACAAUCCGCUCGAGCGGCGGCGGCGAGGAGAGAAGGUGGGGAAGCAGGGGAAGCGACAGCGCUGGGGAUAGGCGGGGGGAGAUUCGGCGGGUCGCAGGAACGAAUAGGGGAAGGUGUGGGCAGAUGCAUCAGCGCCUGGAGGUUUCACCCGAUGGUUGGUGAGAUUCGCGCGCACGAUUGGCUUGUCCAGCACGCGCGAGUGGGCGCACCAAAUAAGCAACGCGCGAUGCAGUUUUCCCCAGCAUGUUGAGCCUUGUUUACCGCGCGGGGGGUUAUAGCGCGGCUGCUGGAGCGCUACUUUCAGUCUCGCGCGCGUUAUAUAGCCGUUUUAACCAGUGUGCGGCUUAUUUAGCGCGUUUGUUUUUAGGGGUAUUUAGCAUGUCUGUUGAAAAUGCUCUAAGGUCGACAGUCAUCAGCGAGUUUCUCUGGGCAGGCCGUAAGGCGGCUAAUGGAGGCCAAUGCCGUGUCGAUUGGGCUAAGAUUAACCGGCCUAUCUCUCUUGGAGGCCUGGGCGUGCAGGACCUGCACCGGGCUGGGAUCGCCCUUUGAUCCCCUCACGCCCUUGGGGCAUCUACAUCUUCCCACGGACGCCCAGGCGGAAAACCCUAUUUGACACUCUAUGCGUCAAACGGUCGACCGACACAAGGGGCGCGAUAAAGUGGGAACUUUCUAGAAGAGAUAUUUGAUUUUCUAAAAUUUCGUUAGAUUUUUUUGAAUAUUUAGCGUGUCAAAAAUUAAUUAGUUCCUUAAAAAAUCGUGUUUGAAUUUUCAUAACACGUUCGAUCUUAUAAUACUGCCUUAUUAAAGCCCCGAGCUAAGAAUUUAACGGCAAGCCACUUCAGGUGCGCUGGUUACUAGCCCACGUGUAGUAUGUGCGGUCGUGUGUUCGAACCUGACCAACUGCUUGCGAUCGCACGCAGAUAACCAGUCCACUGCACUAGUUUUGUUGAAGCUAAAGCAGCACAUAACUUUAAGAACUAACUUCAACCGGCCUACUGUAGCGAAUUGGAAUAUUGUUUUUUUUUCUCUCGAAUACGCCUAGAAGGCCUAUCAUUGCAUUGAUAGGGGAAAGAAAGUACAGGCAAGUCACCACAAUGACGUACACAAGAUUGGCGACGCUAUGGUGACGCGAGGAGCAGAAGACAGAGGGUUGCUCAGCCCUCAAAGAUCAAGUUCAGGUUACGAAUAGGAAUAUUGUAGCAAACCAGAAAUAGUUAUUGUAGUGAACCGGCGACCACAUGCACAUACGCCCGAGCUUUUACCACCGCAACCAGCUCACAUCAGUGACAUAUUUGUAGCCUGACAUUUUAAGAAACGAGCGACAGGGAUAAAACUUAAAAAGGAGAUCGAAAAAGCAGUACGUGAACAGGAGGGGUCGAACACACGACCUCCAUCGAGUCAACCGCGUCGCUAGCUACUGUAGUUUCUGCAAUUUGUUCUCUAUAAAUAACAACCCAAUUUAAAUAAUUAUAAGCCACAGAUUUUUUUGAAAAUCUGAACCUGAUUUUACUUUUGACAAAGUACAUGUUUUUUGGAAUUUAUAAAUGCAAACAUUUUCGGAAUUUAUGAAAUACAUUUUUAAAGUAUCAAAUAAAAAUUAUAAUUAUAAUUUUUUUGAAAUUUCUGAACCAAAUUCGAAAUAAGUAACAUUUUUCAAAAAAUGAAUAAUAGCUUGAAAAAAAGAAAAUAAAAGUGAACAGGAAGAAUUUUGAAACUACUUUUGCACGCGAACAAAUUUUGAAACUAGUUUUGAAUUUUUUUGUGUAAUGAGAUUUUUUUUGAAUUUGACAACAUUUUUUGGAAACAUGAACAAAACUUGAAUAUUUUGAAAAAAAGGAAGAAAAGGAAAAUAAAUGAAANNNNNNNNNNNNNNNNNNNNNNNNNNNNNNNNNNNNNNNNNNNNNNNNNNNNNNNNNNNNNNNNNNNNNNNNNNNNNNNNNNNNNNNNNNNNNNNNNNNNNNNNNNNNNNNNNNNNNNNNNNNNNNNNNNNNNNNNNNNNNNNNNNNNNNNNNNNNNNNNNNNNNNNNNNNNNNNNNNNNNNNNNNNNNNNNNNNNNNNNNNNNNNNNNNNNNNNNNNNNNNNNNNNNNNNNNNNNNNNNNNNNNNNNNNNNNNNNNNNNNNNNNNNNNNNNNNNNNNNNNNNNNNNNNNNNNNGGCGUAUGCCAAGGCCUCGCCGACCAGGCUUGGGUACGCGACAUCCACGGCGGACUUGGCCCAGCCGCGUUGGUCCAGUAGGUUGAGCUAUGGAGGCGGGUUCGCAACAUUCAUCUGACCGAGGACCCGGAUACCUUACGAUGGUGCUGGACCGAUUCUGGACGCUACACAGCUAGGUCAUGUUGUCCUCCUCUCUUUCGAGGAACAAUUCAAGACCGACAUUGGUGCAUCACUUGGAGAAUUUGGGCGCCGCUCCACAUCAAAGUCUUCACAUGGCUUGCCGUGUUGGACUGCAGAUCGCCUCGCCUAACGCGGUCUCCCGCCUAACGAUAAAUGCAAGAACAGUAGAGCAGGCCAUGAUUGGAGAAAGAUGGAUUCAUGAUGUGCCACCACAAUACUCCAUGGGUGCCCUGCUGCAAACUGUGCAUCUUAGGCACGCAAUUGCCGCGAUGCAAAGAGACGAGCUGGCUAAUGACAAGUUCAUUUGGCCUCAUGACAAAUCAGGAGAAUACACUGCAAAAUCCACCUAUAAGCAACUAUGCCAAGGUGGGAUCCGUGCCCCGAUGGCUGAGGCGAUUUGGAGGAGUUGGGCACCCCUGAAAUGUAAGAUCUUUGCUUGGUUGGCCGAACAGCAUCGGUUGUGGACCUCUGAUAGACGUGUGCGACACGGCUUAUAGGACAAGACGUCCGAGUGCUUUCUUUGUUCGCAGGAGGAGGAUAACGUUGAGCACAUCUUGGUGCAAUGCGUAUAUGCGAGGGAAGUAUGGCAUACUUGCUUCGACACACUACGACUAAACAGCCAUGCACCGGAAGCACAAGACACCUGGGAGGCUUGGUGGGGCACUGCAAGAACAAAUUACCAGGGGAAGGACAGGAGAGGGUUCGAUUCUUUUGUCAUUGGAGUGGCUUGGUCUUUAUAGAAGCAAAGGAACGCGAGAGUGUUCAACCGGCCAAAGCAACGCAAAGGACCAAGGGGACUAGUCAGCUGGAUCUUAGAGGACAUUUUCGAUUGGAGACAAGCGGGUGUAGGAGUAGGAGGACUAGAUAGAUUUGUGAGACAUUGAACAAUGUGUAAUGGUUGGUGUGGGAGUUCCGGAGGUUGAUGUUCGCAUCGACCAACGGUUUCUUGUAAAUAUUUUACUCUUCUAUAAAAAUAUGGUACGCCAUUGGCGUACUCUCGAAAAAAAUAAGGAUCGAUGCAUCCUCUGCGAUCAAGUACCCGAAGAUUUUCAGCAUCUCCUCGCUGGGUGUUCCUUCUCUCGCCAUGUCUGGCAUGGGGUCUUGUCUUGGUGUCGUUCUACGGCAUCGCUACCCGCCCCAACAUUGAGUCUCUCUGAGUGGUGGGAGGAUACAUGCCGUGAUGCUCCCAAUGCCCACCGGCGCGGCCUCUCUUCUCUCAUCAUGUUGACGGCCUGGAGCAUAUGAUGUCACCGCAACGUGUGCAUCUUCAAUGACUUCCGGCCCUCCGCUGCUCGCGUUUUGCAGGACAUCAAGGACCUUGCACGGCUCUCGGCGCAGGCUGGUGGGAUUGGCACUCAUACUUCCCGACAUGUAGUCCCUCCAAGUCUUUUGGGGCUAAGCAUCCCCUUUCCAUGCUUUGGAUACCGUGAUACGCCUUUGCGCUUGUAACAUGUGAUGUAUCGUCACUAUAUACUCUCUCUUUCUUCUAUCGAUGGAAAGAUACGCAAUUUUUGCAUACUCGCGAAAAAACCAGUAGGGGUAAGCUUCCUUUUCAAACAUUUAAGUUUCUGAAAAACAACAAGAGAACGAUAAAUAAACAUCAAGCUACAGUUGAUGCUCACGUAAGUACGAUUCAUCAGUAGAUCUUCAUGAAGUUAGUCUGAAAAUACUGAACAGCUCAAACAAGGCUAUGUAAAACUGUAAUCAGGAUCUUUGCCACCGUAAAAAUGGUCAAAUUAGUAUGACUUGCAGUUCAAAUUACUGUGACCUUGUAGGAAUGACAGGAAUUGAGAAGGCUAUGGUUCAAAAUUGCUGUAGCAUGGAGAAUUACUGUAAAAUAAUACAGAAAAACACUGUAAAAAACUUGGAGACUAUGGUCCAAAAUUACAUAACUUUGCAGGAGAAUUACAUUUCUUACACUGAAUAAUACAGAAAAACACUAUAACUUGGAGCAGCAAACAGCUUAGAGGCUAUGUUUCAAAAUUACUAUAACUUGGCAACAGAAUUACAUUUCUUGUUGAGCUGUAAAUAAUACAGAAGAGGCACUGUAAACAAACAACAAUGGUGUAGUAUCGAACUGCAAUCUGCAAACAACUUGGAGACUAUUUCAAAGUUACUAUAACUUUGCAUGAGAAUUGCAUUUCUUGUUACACUAAAAAUAAUACAGAAGAUGCACUGUAAUAAAACAGUAGUUUAGUUCCAACUGGAAGCAGCAACAGACUCAUGUAAAACACUAGGGAAAAAACAACUGAACUAAAGGCUAUGGUUCAAAGUUACUACAGCUUUGCGGGAGAAUUACAUUUUUUUGACACUGUAAAUAAUACACAAAAUGACUGCAAAAUACAAAUAGUUGUUUAGAUCAACUGGGAGCAGCAAACAAAAUUCAGGGGGAAAACAGUCUGGAAGAACUAUGGUUCAAAAAUUACUGUGGCCUUGCUUAGGAACUACAUAUAUUUUACACUGUAAAUGAUACAGAAAAUGCACUGUAACAAAAAGAAAGUUAAACCUUCAAGGAGCAUUGGGAAUUGUAACAAAGAACAGUUAAACCUUGGUGGAAUCUUGAAAAUUACAGUAGCCUUGCUGGAAAAAUAUAAUAAUGUGAUAGUGUAAUUAUGCUUAAUGUAAGAAAAGUAGUUAUUAAACAACCAAUUAGAACAUGCACAGGUAAUGCAAGCAAUAACCACUACACACAAAACAAAGUAACACUAAGUAACCACCUAAUUUAUCAAGGAUUAAAGAGAUACUCUCAGACUGAAAUUCCUUCAUCAGGUACAACAAAAUAACUUUAAAAUGGUAUGGAUAUUGACCUAAACAUAACUUACAGAGACAGCUCACCAAAUUUACAGCAGAAUAACUGAAACAAAUUGCAGAGCAGUAACCACUAAAAAUUUCAAGACAUGGAGCAAGAUAUAAGAAAUAAUAACCUUAACAACGACGAUAUAUUGCAGACAAUUCACUAUAAUUGCCCCAACAUUACACAUGCUCAAGCACAAAGUCUGAUGCAAAACACAAGGAUGGGUACAGAAAAACGCAACAACAACGUAGAAUUGGAGGACCAUAGCUCACAGAUUCAACAAAGCACAUCCACCAGCGUGCUCACAGAAUUGGAGGGCCAUAGCUGAUAGCUCACAGAUCUAGAAAAUAAAGUAAUGGAUGAAGAAGAAGAACAACAUCAGAUCGCUGGAAGAGAAAAUUCCAAUCACCAGCGAGCAGAGCACAGAUAUCUUCAAGCAAGGGAUCCUUCCAGCAGAUUCACAAAACAAGGCUUAAACAUGAACAACCUAGGAUAGGACAGGUGAGAGCUCACAAAAUCCACAAAUCACAUCCGUCGAGAUCUAGAAAAAAGACUAAGAAAUGGAGGGGGGAGAACAACAGAUGCAAACCACUUGGAAGAGCUCCUCUAACCACCAGUGGGCCCAUAGCAGCAACCGAAUGCUCAAGCAACGAGAGAAGGAGAACUCUGAAUGGAAAUCACUACUGUCUCUCUCUCCCCUACUUCUGCUUGAACAAUCACUGAUGAAAGGGGGGAACGGGCACCGACAUGGGUUAACGGGCAGACUACAAACAAAACAGCGCGCGCUAUAAACAAAUAACCAAAGGAGCACGCACAAAUCGCUGCACAAUGAUCAGACGGACACAAAAUCCGACUGAAACGAAUUGUUUUCAGUCGGAUGAAAAUUAGCAAAACCGUAUGUUAAACCUAUACGCUAUGUGAUGUGUACUGAAAAAAAAUGUGACAAGCAACUAAGAAGUAUUCAAAAAAUGAAGUGUAUACUUGUUUGAUUCAACAGUAUGAGAGCAAUACUUGUACAUUUGUGUCGCAACAAGCAGGACAUUUGAUCAACUGUACACCUACAUGGCUCGAGCUUCUUAAAUCUGUAGCAGUUAAGAUCAUCAGGGCAAAGCGGUUGCGCUACCUCAAGCACAUGGAGCGGCUACAGCAGCCUGCAAGCAAAUUCCCGGCAAACGUCGAGGACAUACGCCCGUCCAUGACCAGACGAAGGAAGCUUUUCAAGGUUAAAAUUGCUUCCCAACCGAUGCC
rnacentral:lncRNA from 1 species